GAUUCAUUUCUAGUAGAAUAAGUUGUAUGCUAGAUCCGUCGCUUGUCAUCAAUUUAACUUGAUAAAGGAUAAGCAUAACAUAAUUCUUAUUCUUGUUUUUCCUCCUUUCAAGGGAUUUCAAUUCUUCUUCCGGAGUGACUCAUGAUAUCAAUUCUUUUCUCAAGUAUCCGUUCUAUUGCAUUUUCAAGUGCAUUUGUUCUUCCUUGGUCCUUUGAGGUGGUAUUAUAGCCUUCUUGUUAGUGUAGGAGCCUCAGAGAGUUUUCCUUUCAAGAAUGAGAUAAUUAAAUCCACCAAUUCUAUGAUCACGAGAUAUUUUCUACCGAUGAUUUCUUCAUUGAGCUAUCUUGGUUUGGAUUUCACCUAAAGCUUUUCCUAUGGAUAAUGCUAUCAUGGUGCUUAUCAUUAAUCCCAGUUCUCAAUGCACCCUCUUGGUGUAAGAAGUUUUGAUAUCUUUGCUUUCAUCUAUCCUUGGUUCUUGUAGUGGUUGGUUGUCACCUCAUAAUUGUUGAGAUGAUUUUCAUAAGCCCACUAGUAUCUUGUUUUUGUUGUUGGUUUUCCAACUACUCUCUCAAUUCUCUGUCCGGAGGCUCUUCAAUUCUAUUGUGGUGAUAGUUGGCAUUUUGUCUUCAUUCUCUUCUUCCGUAUGAGUUAGUUCCUAUUCUAUUGUUUCGGAGGCAUUUUGAUGUUGCUCUUUUGGGUCUAUCAGGUUGUUCUAUCAACAUCAUGGUGUUCUCUUGCUCUAUUUACUUGUUUGUGGUGAAUUUUGUCUAUUUCCUCCACCUUUUCGAAUUUUUUGUCCCAUUUUCCUAACGAAGUGCUACCGAAAUUUUCCGUGAAUUCUUGCUUCUUUCUCAUGUCAUUCCUCAUCUCCUUGCAACCUUCAAGGAUCGUUCGUUUCACUCGUUUGUAAAAGAAGCGACUAAUUUUUACCUCUUGUUCUUUCUCAUCCUCUCCCCCUUUCAUUCUUGGAUCUCGGGGCGAGAUCCUCUUGUAGUGUAGGAGAGUUGUGGCAGCCCGAUGCCGACGUUCCAGAAGAUUCCCUUUCCUUUCCGUUUUCGUCGUGUGUCUGUUUUAUUUUGUCGCAUCAUCAUCGCAUCAUCUGCAUUGCAUCGGCAUCUCCAUUGCCGCCCGUUUUCAAACUUGCAUCCGUUAGUAGUUCCAGGUUCUCGUCGUUGCCCGUUCUGAGCCCGACCGCACACGCACGCGCCCGCGGCACCGUCGUAACUCUGUUUUUAAAGUGUGCGUAAAACUUUCUCCGAUUGAGCUAGAAUUUGUCCUGCGGUAUUAUUUAUAUAUAGAUAGGUCGCCUGUCGAAUUUCGUCGCGAUCGGAGACCGUCUCGUACCCGAACGGUCGACCGUUGCGGCACCGUAUUCGGUCUACCGUCAGAGGUAUGUCGGUGUUUUAAAAAUUCGUGCCGCGCCGCCCGUUCUCCUCUCGUCUCCGGAUAUUCCCUCUACACGACCGCGUACCCAUACCCGCAUUCAGAAUCGUCCAAAUCCGACCCCGCGGUUGGAUCCGGAUCGCGAUUCGGGUUAACCGAGCCCCCCGUUGGUCUAUAUAUAGACCCCCCCCCCCAAUUAUUUAGGCAGCAAACCCUAGGUCUUCCUUGGAAUCCGUGCCAUCCCCAAAACCCUAGCUAGUCUCUCCCUCCUCCCACCUCGAGCUGGGCCCGCGGAGCCCGUUCUAAGCCCGCUCGAGCCCAUCUGGGCCCGAGGCUGCUGUGCCGGAGAUCUCCUUCCCGAGCUCCUCCAGCCGAGGUGACAGUCCCGCGCAGCAAGCCGGAGCCCCGCCGGCGAGGCAUCUGUCCCCUGCAGCCCCGCCGCCUGGAUCCCGCGCCGGCUCCCGAGCGCGCCGCCCCCUGUGCCCAGCGCCGCCGCCAGCCGCCGCCCCUCUCCGCAUGCGCAGCAGCCGUCGUCGCUCCUUCUGCCGCAGCUUCCUCCGCGACCCUGCCCGCGCCCGAUCUCGCCGCUCGCCGGCCUCCUUCGCCGGAUCCCGCCGCCUCCCAGCCGCCUCCGGCCGCCGCCGCCACCGCCAGGAGGUUCCGCACGGGAGGACGAGGAGAUCCCUCCCGUGACCGAGCCAGCCCGAGCUGGGCCUCACCAGCGUGCGGGCCUGCCGCCCGAGCUGGGCCGGCCUCCCUUCGAGGCCCAGCGUUGUUCCCCACCAGGCCGGCCUGUUAGGUCGCGGUAAUCCUCCCCCACUGCCCUCCUAUUCCUCGCCUAGGCGACAGGUAACUAAGUCGCGCCCCCUGUUCGGCCCAAUAGCUUAUUAGGUAUUUUGGAAUUGUAAUUAAUUCCAGAGAUAUAUACGUAUAUUAAAACGCGCGUAUCUUUAAAUCCGUACGUCGGAACGAGGCGUAUCAUAUAUGGUUUUGUGGUAGUUUCGCACGCAGAAUAUGAUUUUGAAACAUGCAUAUUUAUUUGACGUCAUUAAGGUGCCGUAUGCCUAGAAUAGUGUGCUGCCUAUAAUGUUUUGCCCGUAGUUUAUUUUUUUCGCACGUGUCCGGUUUGCCCGUAUGCCGUAGAAUAAAUGCUCGUGUUUUAGGGGUCAUUUUUGCAUGUACUUUAGAGCGGUCACUUGUAUUUUUACGUGUAGGGAGUUGCCGGUAGUUUAUUUUCCCGUAUAUAGGUUUUAUCUCGCAUUAAGUGUGGCAUUAUUUUGGGUUAGAAACCCCACAUAUCUUAUAUGUUUCCAGGGUAGAAAAUCCCAUGGAUUUUUCUGUGCAAUUAGUUUUAGCUUUUGAGUAAGUUAGUUCGUGAGAUAUUUUGCUAUGUUGCCCUUUUGAUUAAUUCGUAGGACUUAUUCUGUGCCCCGUUGGAAUUAGUUGUCAACUAGGAAGUUCUUCUUAGAUGUUUUGUUUAGCCCCUGGUAUUUUUAGUUGCAAUAGAAAUGCAUGUUUAGGUGUGUUUUGAUUGCCCUCAAGUUGCUAGAAAUAGUGCUGUUUUAGAGGAGCUGAAAUAUUUCUAAGUCUGGAAUCUGUUAUUAUUUUGUUGCUGUUUUGUUUUGCUUCUAGCUUGUGAUCUGUAGCUCUUCUGGGGUUGGUCCAAUGGAGUUAGUUGUACCCCUUAUGUUUCUUUAGCAUGAUGUUAAGUUUCAUGCCAUUUGGAGACCUGUAGCUAUAGAUUUUGCUGCUGUCAAUAUAGCUUCAGAUCGAAAACUGCACCUUCUUGAGGUGUUAUUUUCACUAAGUCUGAAAUAGUGCGUGAGAUGCCAUUUUGUGUCUUCUUUUCCUAGUGCUCCUUGCUGCCAUGCUAGUUGUUGUUAGUUGAUUGUAGUAGUGCGUCUUGCCCUCUUUCAUGCCAUGCCUUGCUUGAGUUUAUCGGAGUUGUGUAGCCGUAGUUGUGGGGCGUAGAAAGUGCUAUGUGGCUUGAUUGUAGUCCUUUCUUGUUUUGCUCGUAGUUUUUGAACCGUAGCUCCGAUUUGAUCGUGUCCUACAUGAAACUUGCUUAGAGUCUCGUGUAGUUUCAUUUUAUCUUGUGUGAUGUAUGUUUUUGAAGUGCUCGUGACCACCGUUGCACCCAUAUUGCAUUCAUGUCAUCAUAUCUUGCGGUGCUUGUAUCUUUUGAUCCGUAGCUCCGUUGGAGAUGUUCUUUACGUGUAGAUUGCUUGCCUUGACGGGUAGAAUCACGUGAACCUAUUUAUUUUGCUGUUUAACAACCAAUUAAAUGCAUUAGUUCAGAUCUAGACAGAAUUGUAAAUUAACAUGUGAGGUCGUUUCGGAGGUGCUAUAUGUCAUUUCUGACCUCAUUUAAAAUGUCUAGAUAGGUAGUUUAAUUUCCGCUUCACCUCUUGCAUGUUUAACCACAUUUAAUAUUGUCGUGUAUCUAAUCGGGAUAGAACUAAAUAAUAAACGUGGAGUUUCGUCAAUAUGCAACUCGUUGCAUAUUGAACUUCACUUAAUGUGUAUUGUUUGAUUGCGUGAAUUGUCAUGCCGUGCCUUGCACGUAUUCAGUAGCUCAUGCAUCAUAUGUGAUGUGCAUCAUGUGGUGAAUUUCGUGUGUUGAUUCUUGUUUCCGGUUUUCCCCGUCUCGAUAGAGUUCCGCAAGCGUGCCGGAUUGUGAGGACCCGUUCGACUUCGUCGGUUCGUCUGCUUCACGGAGGCAUUCUUCUUCCAAGCGGGAUCUCAGGCAAGAUGAUCAUUUCCCCAUAUACCAUUACUAUCAUUGCCAUGCUAGUUUUANGGGGGAGGCAGACGGAAAAAAUAAAGGGGGAGGCGCACGGCAAAGCCUCCGUUAACCCCUAACGGAGGCAACGCCUGUCGGCUGCCGUCUCGAGAGCUUUGCCGUCCGCUUUGGGGGGGGGGGGCAGACGGGCAAAGAAGGUCCUAUGCCGUCGUAGGCUGGCGCAGAAAUUUUGCCGGCCGUGAGAAUCUUUGCCGUCUGCUGUUUUGUCUUUGCCGUCCGGGAUUUUGUCUUUGCCGUCUGUGCUGGCAGAUAGCAAAGAAGCUGAUUCCUCUAGUGUGUAGGGUGUGUUCCAUCAUGCCCAAGAUUAAGCACACUGCCCGGAAGAACUCUACUGGCUCAUCUGCUCGUGCCCCUACUGGCACGGGGUCGGAUUACUCCGAUGUGCAACGCCGUCCCUUCAAACGGGUCACCCGGCGUCCUCCUCCACAGCUCCACUCCUCAUCUGAUGGCUCUGACUUUGAGGAUGAGCUUGCAGCUAAGGAACAUGUUGAACAGCCCGCCGUUCGAAGGACUAUGCCGAAGCCUGGGACUCGCAGGCCCUCAUAUAUGCCACCACCUCCUCCUGAACAGCCCGAAGGUGAAGCUCGUUGGAUCCCUCUUGAAAAUCCUCCUACUUUAGGUCGUGAAGUCAAGGACUUCACCACGGUUCCUAAGUCUUCCUACUUCACAUUCCGCCGCGAUGUUGACCAAUUUUCUGUUGUACGUGACUCUAUGGACUCAUGUUUCCGCACAAACGUCCAAGAGGACAUCUUUUCUACUGUCAUCGUUCCUAAGGGUCUCUCCCUCCAUCAUUAUAUUGAUCUUGAGCAUAUUCGCAUGCACCCGGCGAUAUACCCGGGUGCCAUUGAGCUCAUUGAGUCAUCGGGGCUCGCUGCCGCCUUUGUUUUUCGGUCCGAUUUUAACAGUGUCGAUAUUCAUCAAUUUUAUGCCACAUCUUUCUUUGGCUCAAACAACAUUGUUAGCUGGAUGACUUCUGAUGUUGAGUUCACAGCCUCUUAUGAUGAGUUUGUUGCUGCACUCGGUUUCCCCGACUCCGGCUUCAAAAUCUAUAAGAAUGAUCCUAACCAUGCACAUAAGCCCAUUCAGGCGUGUGGGCUUCUCCUCAAACCACUUCGUGAAAUUGAUGCAGACGAACGGAUGAAGGAUCUUAACCAAGUAUCCAUCUGGCGCUCUCCCUUCUUUAUCAUUUUUCAGUGUCUUAUCCGCACCAUCUAUCCCAAGAUGGGUGAUAGGAGAUCCUGCAGCGGCUACUGUAUUGAUAUCAUGUCACAUUUACACGAGUCCCCCAAGUGCAAGAUUAAUGUGCCUCACUUUCUCUGGCACGAGAUUCGGCUCGCUAGUCUUCAAUACAAGCGAGCCUUCCCUUAUGCCCCCUUCAUCCAGGCUUUUAUUCACGAUGUUUCUGAAUUCACUGUUGCUCCCACUCACACGCAUCACAAGUGGGUCAUUCCCGCUCACAUGGCGGAUAACUAUGCUCCCAAGAAAACCACAUCCACCUCCACUCGCCGCACUGCUGCCAAGUCAGCAACCCCUUCAUCCAGCUCAGCUCCUCUUGGUCGCUUUGCCAAAUUCAUUGGCAAGGCACAUUCUUCCAUGACGAAGGCCUUCUCUUUCAAGUGCGGUCAAACUCAUGAUGUGGUUUCUCGCCUCGUCUCCUCCAAGAAUGCCCUCAAGGCUCGUUUGAGAGACUCGGGCGCUCUUGAUGUGAGUGACGAUGAGGCUCUUCCUGCUGAUCCUCCUUCUCACUUUGGCUUCCCAGCUGGUCCUGAGUGGGCUGAUUUUCUUGACGAGGCUGGUGGCAGUGGCUUACCUGAGGAUGAGGAUGAUGAUGCUGAUGAUCUCUGAGCAUGGUUGAUGGUUUUGGUGCCCCUCUUUUUGGUACUUGGUGCCAAAGGGGGAGUAAUGUAUCCUAGUUUUAGUCUUUGGAGAUUUAGUUUUAAAACUCAAUUUUCAUGUUUGUGUAAUGUAAUGGAUAAACGACUGUGAUGCACUAUGUAUGGCUACCUAUGAAUGUCGUGAUUGCUAUGGAUGGCUAUGAUAUCAUCGUGUGCUAUUAUGUUUUCCUCCAUUACUUCAUAUGAUGAUCUAUUAUCUUUACUAAGUCACAUGAUAUUUUCGAUACACACAUUAAAGGGGAGCUCCGAUAUUUUACCAUGCACAUACUAGGGGGGAGCUCUGUACUAAACCUCUCCAAAGCUAAAAUGUAUGAUCAAUCUUUUGAGAGCUAUGUAUAUGUUGUCAUCAACUACCAAAAAGGGGGAGAUUGAAAGUGCAGUCAUGCCCUUAAUCGAGUUUUGGUGUUAAUGACAACACAUCCAUAGGAAACUAAUCUUAUUUGUUGAGAGUAUCUCAGGAUGGCAAGUACUCUUAGUAGAUUGAGAAUUAUGUGCCAAGGUGGUCUGAGAAGAUCGGGACUUAUAUGUCAAGAAGGCUCGGGAUUGAGAAAAGAUGAUGUAGCCUAUCCUUUAAAUUUACUAUUCUUGAGUAUAGGGAUCCCGCACUAUUAAGAGGGGAUCACAGGUUUUGCGGUGAACUUGCUCAUACUACAUCUCUACUUUUCUUCUCAUACCACAUCUCCACUACUCUGCUCUUAUCUCGAAACAGAACCAAUGCCUCGGACAUCCGGUUUCCUCCGGACGUCCGAGGGCCGGACGUCCGACCUCCUUCGGAAAUCUGGAACCUUGCACCAGAGAAACUGGAGUCAAAUAACUCGGAAUUCCCGCCUCCUCCGGUCGUCCGAGGGCCGGACGUCCGACCUCCUUCGGAACCGGAACCUUGCACCAGAGAAAUUUGAGUCGAAUAACUCGGACUUUCAGCUUCCUCCGGACGUACGGUCCCUGUUGGACUACGCAGUGGUUCCAGAUAUAUAUACAUCCCUCAGACGACCGACCCAUGUCGGACGUCCGACUCCUUGUGGGCGUCCGGACAUCCGAGAACUGCCGGAUGUCCGACCACUGUCAAACUUAGUGACCCCAACUGCAGUUUUACUCUCCCCACUAUAUAUACCCCCUCCCACUUCAUAAGAGGGUGUUCAACACAGCUAGAACACUUACAAGAACACCUUUCUCCUCACUCACUCUUGCCUACACCCAAUCUUAGAUCCCAAGAGCAAUUGUGAGCCCCUUUGAGUGUUGUUCCAAUCAAAUGAUAGAUCGUCUCCUUCUCCUCCUCUCCACCAAAGUGAUUUGUGAUUUGAGCAAGUUUUGAGAAAUCCCCGUGAUCUUGUUACUCUUGCAAGUUGGAGACUCCUAGGCGGUAGAAGUCUUCGGAGAGGAAUCAAACCACUGUGAUUACCCCUGGAAAGUUUGUGAAGGUUUGGAAGCCACCUCAAGGCUUACAACUAGUGGUUGAGAAACGGCUUCGUGGAGUUGUCUCAAAGGGAGAAUAGGGUGAGCCUUCGUGGCGUUGGUGUGCCUUCGUGGUAACAUCCGCCCCUCUAACGGUGACGUAGCUUCCCUCCAAGGAAGUGAACACCGGGAUACAUCCUCGUCUCUCUUGGAGUUUCGGUUAUCCCUAACCCUAACUCUCUACUUAUGUUAAUCCUUAUUACGUACUUGCAUUUGAUUAUUGUUUACCGGCUGCCUUACUUUACUCUAAAUAGCUUACUCCUUGUCUUUGCAAUUAUUAGGCUCACGCUCAUAUUCCGCACCAUUGCCUAAAAUUGCUAAGUAACUAUUAAAAUUUGGAACUGUACCUAUUCACCCCCCUCUAGGUCCAUAUCGAUCCUUUUCACUCGUGGAAUGUUCUUUUACUAGUGGAUGUAGCAUGUUUAAUUGUCUUACAAUUUUAAAUUAUGCAAGGUGACUUGGGCACUUGGCUGUGAUGUCCUUUUGCUGUGAAAGGUGCUACUUUGCUUGUGACCACAUCACGAGAAGUUAGGACUAUGGUUGUCAAACAUACUAUUUUUGCUACUUUGACUGUGACGCCCUUUUGAAAAUCUACGCUAUUUUAAAUUUGUGAUGGAAACCUUCUGUGUUUGGGGUUUGGCACUUUGGCUGUAGCAUGUUGCUAUUAUUUUUUAAAUGCAAAUGGUGCAAAGGUUGUGUGUUGUUGUUCUUACAUGCUCUAUAUGUGUUGUUGCUGCUGCUACAUAUUAUAUGUUGUUGUUGCUACAUACUACCACACUUAUGUAUUGUUGCUGCUACAUAUUGUUGUUUACUACCUUAACGAGCACUCGUGAACAUUCACGAGCAUAACAAGCCCAUAACGAACUGAGCUGAACAUAGGUUUUAGCCCGUUAAUAUUAACGAGCUUAAUGAUAACGAGCUUAACAAUAACGAGCUUAAUGAUAACGAGCCGAACGAGGCGAGCAGCUCGUUAGUCCAGCCCUAGUAAUCAUGUCUUGCUAUAAAACUCUCGUUUAAGAUUUUUGCAGGAAAACUUCUCUCUAAAUGGGAAGGGCCUUACAUUGUUGAGGAAGUAUAUCAUUCCGGUGCCAUCAAGAUGAACAACGCCGAAGGCACAAAUCCGAAGGUGGUAAAUGUGGAAAGAAUCAAACAUUAUAUCACACGUACUCCCAUAAAUGUUGAAACCAAUAUUGUCAAUACAAUAACUCCGGAAGAGUACAUUAGGGAGGCCUAUAAGAAUGUUUCAGACUCCAAAAAGUAAUAGGUAUGUGUUACGGUAAGCAAACCGACUCCAAAACUUUUCCAAUGGCAAUUUUUAUCACUUUCGAUAUAUUUAAAAAAUUAGGAAAAUUCAAAGCAGCCAAAAAAGUGCAGGAGGAGGCGACAAGCCAGGGGGCGCGCCCUAACCCCCUAGGCUUGUGGCCACCCCCGUGUACCCUCCGGAUUCCAUUUACUUGUGGAAUACUCCUUCGGGUCAAUAAAAAUUCAUUAUAUAAUCUCCCGAAAGUUUUGACCUUCGUAUCACGACAAUAUAUCCUAUUUUCGUUUUGAGUUGUUUUUGCAGCAGAUUAAGAUCAAUCUGACGUCUUCAAGCGCUUUGAAGGACAAGUUCUUCAAGAGUGUCAUCAACCCCUACCUUGCGGAGGUGCUGCAACACCCUCAAACCAUUGAGAUGCAUCAGGGGUGCUGCACAUCCGUGAUGUUGAGGGGCCAAAGACGACCGGAAGCAUGGAUACAAGGCUCGACGCAAUGGAUCAACAAGUCUUCAAGUGCCAAGGGAUGGUGGAAUGAGUACUCAAUGCCAAUCUCGUGAUGAUCGUGGAGUUUGACCAUAAUCACAAGCUAGACUCCAAGGACAUCUAGGAUCACGUCUUCAAGCUUUACGAGAAAAUCGAGCAUCUCCAAGCCUAGAUCUAUGACCUGCAAAAGCAAAACUAUGAGUAUGAAUACAGAUUUAAGAGAAUGAGUUUGCCUGCAGAUUUGAUGAUCCUGGAGACUUGUUAAUGUUUUUACAAUGGUGAGCUCGUGCCUUGGAAUACGGAGAAAAAGCUUCCAACCUCACCAACAACUCCAAAAUCACCACCUCCGAAGUAAGACAACUAAACACAUGGGUAUAGGGCACUUCCCUUGUCUUUUCUCAUGCUUGGGGGAGUUGCCCUGGUAUCGUAUCACCAUCACACUGUUUAAUUUCUUCGUUUUUCUCCGUUCGAUCCUUUUUGUAAUACCUUGAUCUAGUAUAAUAUAGUUUUAGUGUAAUCUAGUUUUGAGUUUUGCUUUAUGUUCCCCCUAUGUAAGCAAGUCCGAGAGUUAUAUAAUAAAGAUUAGUUUUGAGUUGAGGGAUUUGCUUGCUUGCUAUGAUCUUGAGAAAUAGAAAUAGAAAGAAGUAUAGGGUAAAAGCAAAAGAGUAUAUAUAAUCAUCUUAUGGGGAGUGAUGACUUCACAUAUAAAAAGUAUGUUUAUUGAAAUUUGUUGUGAGUUGACAAACAAAGCUAUUGGUCAUUGCUGCAGUUAAAAGGAAGUAAUAAAGAAAGAGAGGCUCACAUAUAAAUAUAUUAUCUUGGACAUCUUUUAUAAUUGUGAGAAAUCAUUAAAAUAUUAUAUGCUUGUUUAUUUCCGAAUAGAAGUUAUAUGGUUAUAGAUCCUUCAACAUGUGUCGCUUACUUCCACCCCAUAUCAGCCAAAAACUUCCGCAUGAAGUAGAGAUACUACUUGUGCAUCCAAACACCUUUAUCCCAGUUUUGCCUUGAGAGUCCACCAUACCUACCUAUGGAUUGAGUAAGAUCCUUCAAGUAAGUUUUCAUCGGUGCAAGCAAUAAAAAAUGCUCUCUAAAUAUGUGUGAUCUAUUAGUGUGAGGAAAAUAAACUUUAUACGAACUUGUGAUAUGGAAGAAAUAAAAGCGACAGACUGCAUAAUAAAGUUCUUUAUCACAAGGGGCAAUAUAAAGUGACGUUCUUUUGUAUUAAGGGAUUGCGCAUCCAACUAACAAAGUUCAUGACAACCUCUACUUCCCUCUGCGAAGGGCCUAUCUCUUACCUGAACUUUCUAGUACUUACCUUUAUGAUAGAGUCUUGGUGAUCUUCACCAUUUUCUUUAUUUCGCCUUUAUCUUUCGGCAAGCGUCAUGUGUUGGGGAAUCAUCUAGACAAAUAUAUCCACUCGUAUGUGGGUGAUCAUGAGUUAUUAUUGUUGACAUUACCCUUGAUGUAAAUAGUUGGGAGGCAAAACUAUAAGCCCCUAUCUUUCUCUAUGUCUGAUCGAAGAUUUGACCUCAUAGGUACCGUGUGGGUGUUAGCAAUUAUGAAAGACCAUAAGAUGAUUGAGUAUGUGGAUUUGCUUUACAAGCUCUUAUAUUGACUCUUUCCUAUGUUGCGAUAAAUUGGAAUUGCUUCAAUGACUGAAAUCAUAGUUUGUUAGUUCUUGAUUCAUAUUUUACCUUGUGAAUGAAUUGUUACUUUAGCAUAAGAUAUUCUAUGUCAAUAUGUCUUAAUGUUCUAAUGAUAACCAUGAUGCCUUUAUGUCCGUAUUUUAUUUUAUCGACACCUCUAUCUCCAAACAUGUGGGCAUAUUGACCCAUCUCGGCUUUCGCUUGAGGGCGAGCGAGGUCUAAGCUUGGGGGAGUUGAUACGUCCAUUUUGCAUCAUGCUUUUAUAUCGAUAUUUAUUUCAUUAUGGGAUUUUAAUACACAUUAUGGUACAAUACUUAUUCCUUUUCUCUCUUAUUUUCCAAGGUUUACAUGAAGAGGGAGAAUGCCGGCAGCUGGAAUUCUGGACCGAAAAAGGAGCAAAUCUGAGAGACCUAUUCAGCACAACUCCAAAAUUCUUGAAAACUUACAGCGAAUUAUUUUGGAAUAUAUAAAAAAUAUGGGGGGAAAGAAAUACAUCAGGGGACCCACCAGGUGUCCACAAGCCACGGGGUGCGCCCUACACCCCUAGGCGCAUCCUGCAGGCUUGUGGGGCCCCUCGCAGGCCUGUGGUGCCCAUCUUCUACUAUAUGAAGGGUUUUGAUGUGGAAAAAAUCAUACCACAAGUUUCUUGGCGAAGCGCCACCGUCUCGAGGCGAAACUUCAGCAGAACCAAUCUAGAGCUCCGGUGGAGCUAUUCUAUCGGGGGAACGUCCCUCCCAGAGGGGGAAAUCAAAUCCAUCGUCAUCACCAACGAUCCUCUCAUCGAUAGGGGGUCAAUCUCCAUGAACAUGUUCAUCAGCACCAUAUCCUGUCCAAACCCUAGUUCAUCUCUUGUAUCCGAUCUUUGUUUGGUACGUGGGGUUGCUAUUAGUGUUGAUUACUCCUUGUAGUUGAUGCUAGUUAGUUUACAUGGUGGAAGAUCAUAUGUUCAAAUCCUUAAUGAUUAUUAAUACUAAUAUGAUUAUGAACAUGAAUAUGCUUUGUGAGUAAUUAUGUUUGUUCUUGAGGACAUGGGAUAAGUCUUGCUAUAAGUAAUCAUGUCAAUUUGGUAUUUGGUCGAUAUUUUGAUGAGAUCUAUGUUGUCUCUCCUCUAGUGGUGUCAUGUGAACGUCGACUAUAUGACAGUUCAUCAUUAUUUGGGCCUAGGCGAAGGCAUUGGUAAGUAAUAAGUAGAUGAUGGGUUGCUAGAGUGACAGAAGCUUAAACCCUAGUUUAUGUGUUGCUUCGUAAGGGGCUGAUUUGGAUCCAUAUGUUUCAUGCUAUGGUUAGAUUUAUCUUAAUUCUUCUUUAGUAGUUGUGGAUGCUUGUGCAAGAGGUUAAUCAUAAGUGGGAUGUUUGUCCAAGUAAGGGAAGCAUCCAAGCAUCGGUCCACCCACAUACCAAAUUAUCAAAGUAACACACGCGAAUCAUAUGAGCAUGAUGAAAACUAGCUUGAUAGAAAUUCCCAUGUGUCCUCGGGACCGCUUUGAUUUAUAUAAGAGUUUGUCCAGACUUUUCCUUUGAUACAAAAAGGAUUGGGCCACCUUGCUGCACUUUUGUUACAUUUGUUACUUGCAACCCGUUACGAAUUACCUUAAUGCCCUGUUUGGUUGCAUAGAAUUGAGCAUGGAAUUAAGGAAUCUAGAAUUGGGCCCCUAAUUCUUUUGUUUGGUUGUACUAGGAAUUUGCAUCUGGAAACCCAGGCCCAAUUCCGAGCAGACCCGCCCCACGUGCGAACCGAGCAGAAACGUUUCCGAGCUCUCGUGGUGGGAAAUCUCGCGGAAUCUGCGUGCGAAGGGGUAUCGUCUCGCGUUUCCUCCCCCGGCCUGCUGCCUCGAGCGAGCGACCACGGACGAGGCGGGAGUCCUCGCCGGCGGCCCGAGCAGGUGAGCCUCCAUCUCCAUCCCUUCCUCCUCUUCCCCGCCAACCUUCUCCUCGCCGCCUCCCUCUCCCAUAUCGCCCCUACCCCUGGUCGGCCCCUCCCUGCAUAGGCCGAACCCUAGAUCGGGGAUUGACGGCGGGAUGGUAACCGACGGCAGCCAUGGAUGCUGUGCAGUGGCUAGUCCAGAUCCCUUCCCUGCUCGCUGACCCCGCCGCCGCACCACAUCCUCCUCCGCCCUGGCUGACCCGCGGCCACCCCGCGCUCUGACCCCGCCACCGCCGCACGCCUGCACGGCCGCACCGCACCCCUGCUCUGCUUCCUCCUCCCUCGCCUCGCGCCAACAGGAUUUGAACGAGUGGCCUGGUUAUUGUUCAAAGUCCAAAAAAAUUCAAUUCCACAUGAUGUACAUUCAAACAGGAUUUGGAAUUCCAUUUCAGCCUUGAUUCUACGGACGAAUACCAUGCGCAUCCAAACAGCAAAACUGGGAUAUUCGUAUUCUAACACACAUCUGUAUUCUUUUGUCGUUACAUGAUGAACCCAUGUUUGACAAAUCAAUUUGUUUGAUAUAUGUAGAGUUAGUCCGCCAAGAUGUAGGGAAUACGGUGCCCGGCCCCACUUCUAGAGGAAGAGAGAUAUCCUCUGCUCAUGGCUCUCCUGGUCGAGGAGCCACAUGUGGUACACCCCAAGAAGCUGAAGUCCCAAAGGGGCAAGGUAGGUACUCAUAGUGAGAAGACCUCAGUUACCUGGUCCGAGGAUACCCACACCUCCACCACCCAUGAUGGUGGAUGGGGUGGAGGACCUCCUUCCCGUGGAGGAAAAAGGGCAGCAUGAGAGGACGCCAAAGCCGAAGUGCAUCCUGAAGACUUAAAGAGGUUGAAGAAGGUCUGGGUCGGAGCCACUAGCAAGCCGUCAGAGACGAUCAUUCUCUCUGAUGAGUCCGGAGACGAUCCCCUUGCUUUGGGUAGAAAAAACCAACACCUCGAGGGUACGUUACUAUUCUCCAUGUUUUGCAUUUCAUUGGGUAUUAGCAUGAGUGGAAUUAUAUAAGUAUCCUAUCCGCAGUCCACCGAAGGUGCUUCCAAGCGAAUAUUCCAUCAGUCUACCACCUGCCAAUGACAACACGGAUUGCUCCACUCACUCGUCAUCUCAUAAUGGGCUAGGGGAGGUUACCUCCUCUCCGGUUCCCCAGGUUGACCCAAAGGGGGCUAGAGGAUCAAUUAUCAUGACCUAUUGUGGUACCUCAGUUUCAUAGGGUCAAGAGGACAAAAGCCCCGAGGUAGUCGAAGGGACAAUGGGCCAAUUGUUGGCGCAGUGAGUCUACCCUGGUUCCAUUGUCGUGGUCGAAGACCCCUCCGCACAGCACCUACGGGCUUGAGUCCGAUGGUCUACCACCCCCACUCCCUACCCCAGGGAGGAAUAGCAAGGAGUGGAUCGAGGGGGUAGAGGAGGCCUUGAAGGACUCCUCCCUCAAGGAAGAGCAACAUGCCUUGAUAGCCACGAUGCUACAAGGCUUCCAAUCCGUGGAGGCCAGAUUGCACGAGGUCUUCAACAGCUUUGUUACAAGCUUCAAGGUAUCCCUUUAUCAUUAUGAAAAUAAUUUUAUGUCUGCAUUUGAUUUGCAAUCCGUAAAUUUGUCUAAGGAUAUGUAAUCAUGGCCUUUCAAAUGGCUUGAUUAGUGAGUAGCCCCCGAUCCCGAGGCUAGUUUCGAAGAACCAGGGUUGCGAUCAAGUAGAGCUUGAAGUAUUGCCCCAGGACACUUUCUGAAGUUCUCGUCCGAGGUGGAAAGAUUAAUCAUGUGGUUGAUGUGAAUAAAUCUUUACUACAGGUAUCUACCUCAGUUCCGACCUCCUUCUCCAAGGAGAUAGCAGAGAUGAACCGAAAGCUUGAGAGGUUCGUAAAGGAUCUCGACUUGAUGAACCAAAAGUUUGAGCACUCUCAAGGUAAUUGAGUCACUUCAUGUUCUUGAAUGUACUUUAAAUCACGAGAAGUGUACUUCGUUUGUUAUUGAAUUAGGGGCUGACACCGAACUUCAUGAAUGAUAGGAGCCUUGGCCUAGCUUGAGAAGCUCAAGGUCAAGCUCAAGGUAGCUCGGCAUGAGGCAGAGCAGUAGAAGGUUGCAGCCGCAAAGGCGAAGGAGGCCCAAGCUACCAAGAAUGUGGCACAGGAGAAGGGCCAGGUGCGAGUCCUCGAGGUCGAGGAGACCCUGAAGGACGUGUACAAAGCACGUGACAAACUUCAGGUUGAGGAGAUGCAAGCGAAGGACGAGCUCAAGAAGCUUCAUCUUGCGCACUCCGGGCUCGAGACCGCAGCUCGGUCCGACCGUCACGAGCUCCGAGAAGUGGUGCAAGUAGCCGUGGGUAAGCCAUAUUGACUGUAGUGUGUGUUUGGCAGCAAAGGGUGCAUCGAGCUCACCCAUGUUUCGUGUUCCUUAGAGGUCUUUCCCGAUCUUUCGAAUAGCAUGGCAGACGUUGUCGAGCACUUCAGCCGCUAGAGGGCCAUGAGCAAGAGAAGGCGUUCAUGCGGCAGUUGUUGGAUGCUUUGUCAUCAAUUCUCUUGGAUCAUCGAAUGAAGCAACCAGCAGAGCUACUUCGCAUGGUGAGGCCAUCGCUGCAGGACCUCAACAUCAGACUGUGGCCCACCGAAACUCUGCAUGGCAGUCUCUUCGGACUCCUAGCCCGGCUAAGCUUGUUGGCACGCAAGUACAUCAUUGGAAGAGAUGUGCAUGCUUCGAAUGAGCUCGACGGGUGUACGCCUGUGUGAACAUGCACUUCCGGAGGGUUGUGAGAUCACUAGUUGUUGCGGAACCUCUUCCAAGGAAACAACACAGCACGGAACAGUUCUAUAUCGAGGUUGAAGGGGGCCUUUGCUACCGAGGCCCAGUGUCCAAAAGACACUUUGUAUUAGUUGUAGUACUUCAGUGCCAAUGUAAAUGGGUUGUAAAAUAAUAUUUUGUUUUAAUUAGUAUCCCAUUUGAUUUCCUCAUAUGUGUUCUUUAUGUUAAUUGAUCUUCCUCCUAUUUGACAGUUUUAACAGAAAGUUGCAAGUUGUCGGCUUCUGCCCCAAUGUAGAGUAUACAAAGGGUGUUCCUUGAUGCAGCUCUGACCCGUAGCCGACGUAACGGUACCCGAAGGCGGUUCGUUCAUUCUAGGAAGUAGGCAAUCAGAUUAUUACUUCUUUAUUAUUUUCACUUAGUCAUAGGAGUUUGACUAUGGGGGCUGAUGACGAGCCCUUGGUGUGUGAAGUGAUCGGUUGUAGGAAGUCGAGGUCGAUGCCAUUACUCACUUAGGCUUGUGCUAUGAAUAAGUCGUUCGUUUAACAUGGGUGACCUGUAACGACAUGUCGCCUAACGCGGUCUUUGGAAUGCUGACAAGUUUUUGCUUACCCACAUAGUGAUUUUUCAGCUUUCUCCAAUGAGGCGCUCUGUCAAUUGACUAGCGGCACAAUCGCAGUGGUUAUCCAGUUGCAUCCUUAGCUGAAUUUAUUUAGGAAUGUAAGGGGUACACAUAGGAGUCUGGCAACCCAACUGUUGAUCAAAAUCUAGGUUAGAAAUUGAUGUAUAUAGUGCAAUAUCCAAGACGCCAAACACUUCAGACUUGUAUGUAGGACAGGGAAAGUGAACUCCUUAAGCAGUUGUAUUUUGAAGACAUUCUUGUAGCUCAUAGGCGGUGCUUGUAUAGAAAUAUGAUAAGAGCCUUGAGGGGCAUGAUUCCUUUUUAAUAACUUCAAGCUUUACAUGCCGAUCUUGCAACAAGAGAAUCUAAAAUAUACAAUGCAAAAGGGAUAAUAAAGGAGCAGACAAAAAACAAGUUGGAUAUGAUCAGGGGGUUUAUGAGCCCGGGCCGCUUCCUCCCGCUUGUGUGCGUCUCCGUGUUUUUUUGCCAACAUGUCCUCAUUUAUCGUGAUGACAGACAUGGGACUUACGCAACCUCGGCAUAGCAUGUGCUCUAAGUGGCCGCUUGAGGAGUCCUUUAAGAGGUCUCGAGAUGUCCAAUUUGUGGUUGAAGCCAUGUGACUAUAUUUUCCUUGCCAAAUUGUUGACGAGAUCUUGCCGUUAUGGAAGCUAGAAGCUUAGCCGUUCCUCGGAUCUAGCCGGUCCAAUGUUUUCAUAAAUUUUGGCUUCUCGGUGGCCCAAGGGAAUGUUAGCAUGAAAUUGUGCACCGUGGGGACGUAGUGCCCCUCCCAAGGGGAGUAUGCGAGGAGCCUGCUCCCCUAUUUAAGGGUGGGGAUAUCUGUCUGAAGACGACCUGUGUGGCCCGCGUAUGCUUUGAAGAGCUAGAAGUGUGUUUACCACCAUGGGCUGCGUCCUUGCAUGCCUACACCGCAGCUACGAAGACUGCGGUCUUCUCCUUGGUACGAGGGAGCGUUUGGUGUUUCCAUUGAUCGUGAUAACACCUCUUGGUCCUGUCAUUUUAAACUUCACGUAAGCAUAAUGCGGGAAUCUAUUAAAAUGAGCAAACAUUGUGCACCGUAGGAGCGUAUGAUACCCACUUCAAAAGGGGACAAUGUAAAAGAUUAACUCAUCACUCCUGAAGUUCUUGGGUGAUCCAAAGUCAACUUCCAAUGACAUGGUUUCCAUACAACGAGCCUCGACACAUGGUAUGACUCCUUUAAAGGUAGUGUUGCUUGGCUUUAUCCAGGAUGAGUUGAUGCCCAUCUUUUAGACUGUAUCCUUGUAGAUUAAGUUGAGGCUUCUUCCAUCGUCCAUAAGGGCGCGCGUCAUUUGGAAACCAUCGACGAUUGGGUCUAGGACAAUGCAGUUGAACAGCCAUGCCUGAUGCUGGUCGGAUGGUCAUGUAUUUCAAAUGUGACUAGGAAAGACGUCCACGGGAUGAACUUCGAAGUGACUUGCUCCAACGCGUAGAUGUUUCAAAGUGCGUGCUUCCUCUCCCUCUUGGGGAUGUGUGUAACAUAGAUCAUGUUUACCUCUAUUACUUCUUUAGGAAACUUCUUUUGGCCUCCAUUAUUGGUUUGUCAAGGUUCAUCCUCGUCUUCACUAUCAUUUUGGGUUUUACUUGGAUCCUCUUUCACUACCUUGAUAGCUUGUCUGGAGACUCAGCAAUUCCUAUUUGUGUGGGUUGCUGGUUUGUCUUGGGUACCAUGGAUUUGGCACGAUCGUUCCAGGAUAAGGUCUAGGAUGCUAGGUCCAUUGUUAUUCCCUUUAAAGGCUCUUCUCUUUGGUCCAUAUUUGGUUCUGCUGAACCCUACAUUGACUACAGUGUUCUCUAUGUCGCUUCCACCAUUUUUAUGCUUGUGCUUGUUUUGUUGCGUCGAGGCUAGGCAUUGGCGUCACACAUCUCUGAGGUGGAUGCCUCACUGUUGUGACCACUUUGUGCGAGCAAAAUAUCCUCUCCCGUGCAAAAUCGUGCCAUCAGAGAAGUGAGGGCUGACAUGGUCCUCGGUCUGUCCUGGCCGAGCUGGUGGGCGAUCCAUUCAUCUCGGAUAUUAUUUUUGAAUGAGGUGAUUGCCUCAGUGUAGGAGAAAUGUAUGAUUUGGUUCUUUUUGGUAAGGAAGCUAUUCCAAAACUUCCAAGCAUAUUCGUCUGGCUGCUAGACAACACGAUUGAGGUCGUUAGUGUAUAGAGGUAGGACAUAAAUACCUUGGAAAUUUUCCCAAAAGGCAUCUUCAAGGUCUUCCCAUCUACCGACGAAAUGAGGAGACAAGCUAUUAAGCCAAUGCCUAGGCGGCUCCUUUAGCUUGAGCGGCAGAUAUUUGAUGGUGUGGAGGUCAUCUCCGUUAUCCAUGUGUACAUCGAGAAGGAAGUCCUCGAUCCACACUGCUGGGUCUAUUGUGCCAUCAUAGGGUUCUAUGUUGGUGGGUUUAAACCCAUCUGGGAAUUAAUGUCCCAAUACCAUCUUUGUAAAACAGACCAGGUGGGCUGGAUCUCAGGAAUGAGUAGUAUCUCCUUGGGGGUCGGGGUGAAUCUCUCGUAGGCUCGAUUGCGAGAACAGUCAUUCCUGUCUAACCAGGUGGCAUAGCCGUCAAGCCCGGCAAGCGUGCAUCCUCUUGAACCGUAAAUGGAUCGAGGAGGUCCUCGGUUUGCCUCGAUGUGACGUCAAAUGUCAUGAGGGUCUAGGUAAUCCAUGGGGCAAGGAGCGGGCCGAGUAUUGACAUUGUCCCUCGCUGGCCUAUCUCGACCUCUAGGGGGUCGAUUAGGCUCGUUGGUAGUUAGCUCUUCAUUGAACUCCGUUAGCACAUGCCGUCGUGGUUAGGAUUUCGGCGCACUAUGGCGUCGGUCCUCGAGAUCUUGUUCAGCCAAGAGUACUUCAACACACAUAUCAUUUAGCACAUCCACAUUCUCAAGCACCUGCUGAUACGUCUCCAACGUAUCUAUAAUUUUUUAUUGUUCCAUGUUAAGAUAUUAUCAACUUGGGAUGUUUUAUGUGCUAUUUUAUAUAAUUUUUGGGACUAACCUAUUAACUCAAUGCCCAGUGCCAGUUUUUGUUUUUUCCGUGUUUUUGACCUUUUUCAGAUAAGAAUAUUAAACGGGGUCCAAACAAAAUAAAUCCUUCGGGAUGAUUUUUUCCAUAAGAGAAGGGAUCCAGAAGACUUGAGAACCCCGGCAGAGGGCCACGGAGGAGGCCACGAGUCCCCUAGGCGCGCCCCAGGGGGCGCCCCUAGCAGGCUUGUGGGCCCCCCGUGCCUCCUUUGCCCUACCUCUUUCGCCUAUAAAUUCCCUAAAAUCCCCAAACCAACAGAGAGAGCCACAAAAAUACUUUUCCGCCGCCGCAAGCUUCUGUUUCUGCGAGUUCCAUCUGGGGUUCGUUCUGGUGCCCUGUCGGACGGGGAUUCGGACACAGAGGGCUUCUUCAUCAACACCAUUGCCUCUCCGAUGAUGCGUGAGUAGUUCACCACAAACCUUCGGGUCCAUAGCUAGUAGCUAGAUGGCUUCUUCUCUCUCUUGGAUCUUCAAUACAAAGUUCUCCAUGAUCUUCAUGGAGAUCUAUCCGAUGUAACUUUCUUUUGCGGUGUGUUUGUCGAGAUCCGAUGAAUUCUGGAUUUAUGAUCAGAUUAUCUAUGAAUAUUAUUUGAGUCUCCUCUGAUUUCUUAUAUGCAUGAUUUCGUACCCUUGUAAUUCUCUCUGAGUUAUGGGUUUUGUUUGGCCAACUUGAUCUACAAUUCUUGCAAUGGGAGAAGUGCUUCGUUUUGGGUUCAUACCGUGCGGUGUCCUCACCUAGUGAUAGAAGGGGUAGCGAGGCAUGCAUCGUGUUGUAGCCAUCAAGGGUAAAAAGAUGGGGUUUAUAUCAUACUGCAUGAAUUUAUCCCUCUACAUCAUGUCAUCUUGCUUAAGACAUUACUCUGUUUGUUAUGAACUUAAUACACUAGAUGCAUGCUGGAUAGCGGUUGAUGUGUGGAGUAAUAGUAGUAGAUGCAGAAAGUAUCGGUCUACUUGUUUCGGACGUGAUGCCUAUAGGUAUGAUCAUUGCCUUACAUAUCGUCAUGACCUUGCGCGAUUCUAUCAAUUGCUCGAUAGUAAUUCGUUCACCCACCGUAAUACUUGCAAUCAUGAGAGACGCCUCUAGUGAACACUAUGGCCCCCGGGUCUAUUUUACACAUUAUAUAUUCAGAUCUACAUACAAAAAUACCUUGCUGCACUUUUAUUUAUUUAUUUAUAUUUACCUAUUAUCACUAUCAGAUCCCACUUUGCAAGUAAUCGUAAAGGGAUUGACAACCCCUUCGCGUUGGGUGCAAGUUUGUUUGUCUUUGCGCAGGUGCCUUGGUGCCUCAGCUUGAUACUCCUACUGGAUUGAUACCUUGGUUCUCAAACUUAGGGAAAUACUUAUCUCUACUUUGCUGCAUCACCCUUUCCUCUUGAAGGGAAAAACCAACGCAGGCUCAAGAAGUAGCAGGAAGAAUUUGUGGCGCCGUUGCCGGGGAGUAUUCAAGUGAAGCAUAUCUACCAAGUACCUAUCACAAACUCAUCUCUUGCAUUUACAUUAUUUUCCAUUUGCCUCUUGUUUUCCUCUCCCCCACUUCUAAAACAAAAUUCACAAAAAUAUUAGCCUUUCUUUAUUUUGCCUUUUUCGUUCGCCCCUUUCUUUUGCUUACUUUCUGUUUGCUUGUGUGGGUUAGUCUACUUAUCCUUAUGGCUAGUCCUAUCGCUAUGAUCAUUACUCCCGACAGCAAGGUUCUUAACUGUAAACAAAAUGAGGGAGAAAACUUAAAAGAUGCUUGGUAUAGAAUUUUCAAUGUUCAGAAUAGAUCUACUCAUAAGCAAUCUACUACCGUUCUAUUUCGCAAUUUUUGUGUGGGUAUUUCCCCUUGGAAUAAGUAUGUUCUUCACACCAUCAUAGGCGGAAUAUAUUGGGUAGCCAUACCGUUGAUUCUUAUGGUGCUUUAAUAAAUUUGGUAGGCUCACCCCCACUCAUGGUUAAUGGAACUACUUUAAAUUUGGAACAUGUGAUGCGUAGGCUAGAUAUUAUUGAAAAUAAAGUUCCUACGAUUGAACUCAUUGAAAAUUUGGAUAAAAAUAUCCACAAUCAAAUCACUCAAUAUGGAUCCAAGGUGGGAAUGAGUUUGAAACAUUUAAAGGAGAAGGAACCCAUAGUUAGCGAAAAACUAGAUCAUGAUUCUGCUAGAAUUGGCAAACUAGAGGAUGUUAUAACCAACUUGGGUUCCGCUUUUGCUGCUGUUAAGAACACUCCAAAUUAUGCCCACAAUAACGCCACUAAGCUAGUUUAUGUUCCUAAAAACAGUGGUGAACUAUCCAGUAAGAGAGAUGAAGAUCUUAAAAUGUUGAGUGUUCACCCUACCUAUCUCGAUAUCUUAAAAAACCUAUCAUCACUAAUGAUUAUAUUUGUUGCCCAUAUAGGAGUAUAAUUAUUGAUAAAAUUAAAGAACUCCCUAGUAAUGAUGAUGGUAUGAGUGGUUUGAGCACUAAAGAUGACAAUACUUGAUUCUAUUGCCUUACGCCUAGCUAAGGGCGUUAAACAAUAGCGCUUGUUGGGAGGCAACCCAAUGAAUAAAUUUAUUUUUCCUUUUUACUUUAUGUUUUGUUGAGUCCACACCAUCAUGAUUCUGUUAUGAUUGUGUUUUUAUGUUUUAAUUAUUAUUUGUGCCAAGUAGAACCUUUAUGAUUAGUUUUGAUGAUAGUUGUUUAAUCAUGCUGAAAAAAGACAGAAACUUUGCGCUCACGAAAUUAUUUUUAAUUUCUAUCCAGAAAGAGCUUUUGAGUUUAUUCUUUUUUCUGCUGAUUUAUAUGCAAAUUUCUCUAAUUUUCACAAUUCUUUCAGAUUUUUUGGGAUAGCAGAGGUAUAAUAAAUAUACAGAUUGCUACAGACUGGUCUGUUUUUGACAGAUUCUGUUUUUUGUUGUGUUGAUUGCUUAUUUUGAUGAAACUAUGGUUAGUAUCGGGGGGUAUGAGCCAUGGAGAAGUGAGACUACAGUAAUAUAACAUCAAUCUAAAUGGAAAUUAAGUUUACUACAGUACCUAAAAAGUUGGUGGUUUGUUUUCUUAUGCUAAUGAUGUCACGAGUUUCUGUUUAAGUUUUGUGUUGUGAAGUUUUCAAGUUUUGGGUGAUGUUCUUAUGGACAAUGGAAUAAAGAGUGGAAAUAGCCUAAGCUGGGGGAUGCCCAAGUCAUCCCAAGCCAAAUUCAAGGACAUCAAAAAGCCUAAGCUUGGGGAUGCCCCGGGAAGGCAUCCCCUCUUUCGUCUUCAAUCCAUCGGUAACGUUACUUGGAGCUAUAUUUUUAUUUACCACAUGAUACACGUUUUGCUUGGAGCGUCGUGUAUUAUAGGACUUUUUGCUUUUUUUUUAUCACAACCAUCCUUGCUGCACACCUUUUGAGAGGGACAAGCACUCAUCGUGAAUUUGUUAGAAUACUCAGUGUGCUUCACUUAUAUCUUUUGAGCUAGAUAAUUUUGCUCCCAUGAGCUUCACUUAUAUCUUUUGAGCUAGAUAAUUUUUAUCUAGUGCUUCACUUAAAUCUUUGUAGAGCACGGCGGUGUCAUGUUUUGUAGAAAUAAAAAUUCUCAAUCUUCACUUAUAUCAUUUUGAGAGCGCUCUCUCUAAGUAACUUGGUAAUUGGCGUGUGUUAUGAAAUUAGUCCUAAAUAUGAUAGGCAUCCGAAUAGGACAUAAUAAAAACUUUCAUAUUCAAGUGCAUUCAUUUGUAAGAGAAGUUUGAUUCCUCACAAUUAGUUUUGAGAUAUGGAUAUGGUAAUAUUAGAGUUAUGAUAGUAGGGUGUUGUGAAUCUAGAAACACUUGUGUUGAGGUUAGUGAUUCCCGUAGCAUGCACGUAUGGUGAAUCGCUAUGUUAUGAAGUCAGAGCAGAAUUGAUUUAUUGAUUGUCAUCCUUUGUGUGGCGGUCGGGAUCGCUUGAUGGUUAACUCCUACCAAAUCUUCCCCUAGGAGUAAGAGUUUAGCACUUUGUUUCGAUUACUAAUAAAACUUUCGCAAUAAGUAUAUGAGUUCUUCAUGACUAAUGUGAGUCCAUGGUAUAGAUUCACUCUCACCCUUCCACCAUUCCUAGCCUCUCUUGUUUUGCGCAACUUUUGCCGGUGCACAAAACCACCAUAUACCUUCCUCAAAACAGCCACCAUACCUACCUAUUAUGGCAUUUUCAUAGCCAUUCCGAGAUAUAUUGCCAUGCAACUUCCACUGUUCCGUCUCAUGCCAUGUGCCAUCACUUUCAUAUUGCCAUUGGAUGAUCGUAAGAUAGCUAGCGAGAUGUUUCAACGUCAUACGCUAAGCUAGAUCGUUGCACAUCCCGGUACACUGCCUGAGGCAUGUCAUAUAGAGUCAUUAUUGUUCUGAGUAUCUAGUUGUAAGUAAAUAAAAGUGUGAUGAUCAUCAUUAUUAGAGCAUUGUCCCAUGUGAGGAAAUAGUAAAAGAGGCCAGCGAAGCCCAAAUGAAAAAAGGCCAAAUGUACCCACCAUAAAAAGGGGCGGGGGAAAUGAAAUGAAAAAAAGAGAGGCCAAAAACCCAAACAAAAAAUGAGAGAAAAAGAUAGAAGGGACAAUGCUACUAUUUUUUCCACACUUGUGCUUCAAAAUAGCACCAUGUUCUUCAUGAUAGAGAGUCUUUUGUUUUGUCGCUUUCAUAUACUAGUGGAAAUUUUCAUUAUAUCACUUGGCUUGUAUAUUCCAAUGAUGGGCUUCCUCAAAAUUGCCCUAGGUCUUCGUGAGCAAGCAAGUUGGGUGCACACCCACUAGUUUUUAUUUUUGAGCUUCCAUACACUCAUAGCUCUAGUGCAUCUGUUGCAUGGCAAUCCCUACUCAUUCACAUUGAUAUCUAUUGAUGGGCAUCUCAAUAACCCAUUGAUACGCCGAGUCGAUGUGACCAUCUCCUCCUUUUUGCCUCACAACCUCCACCACACUCUAUUCCACCUAUAGUGUUAUAUCCAUGGCUCACGCUCAUGUAUUGCGUGAGAGUUGAAAAAGUUUGAGAAAGUAAGAGUGUGAAAACAAUUACUUGGCCAAUACCGGGGUUGUUCAUGAUUUAAAUUCGUUGUGUGGGGAUGAUGGAGCAUAGCCAGACUAUAUGAUUUUGUAGGGAUAACUUUCUUCGGCCUUGUUAUUUCAAAAGUUCAUGAUUACUUUUCUAGUAUGCUUGAACUAUUAUUGUUUUCAUGUCAAUAUUAAACUAUUGUUUUGAAUCUUAUGGAUCUGAACAUUCAUGCCACAAUAAAGAAGUUACAAAGAACAAAUAUGGUAGGUAGCAUUCCACAUCAAAAAUUCGGUCUUUAUCACUUCCCUACUCGAGGACGAGCAGGAGUUAAGCUUGGGGAUGUUUGAUACGUCUCCAACGUAUCUAUAAUUUUUGAUUGUUCCAUGCUACUAUAUUAUCAACUUGGGAUGUUUUAUAUGCAUUUAUAUGCUAUUUUAUAUCAUUUUUGGGACUAACCUAUUAACUCAGUGCCCAGUGCCAGUUUCUGUUUUUCCGUGUUUUUUACCUUUUUCAGAUAAGAAUAUUAAACGGAGUCCAAACGGAAUAAAACCUUCGGGAUGAUUUUUUCCAUAACAGAAGGGAUGCACAAGACUUGAGAACCAAGGCAGAGGGCCACGGAGGAGGCCACGAGCCCCCUAGGCGCGCCCCAGAGCGGCGCCCCUAGCAGGCUCGUGGGCCCCCGUGCCUACUUUGCCCUACCUCUUUCGCCUAUAAAUUCCCUAAAAUCCCCAAACCAACAGAGAGAUCCACGAAAGUACUUUUCCUCCGCUGCAAGCUUCUGUUUCCGUGAGAUCCCAUCUGGGGACCGUUAUGGUGCCCUGCCGGAGGGGGAUUCGGACACGGAGGGCUUCUUCAUCAACAGCAUUGCCUCUCCGAUGAUGCAUGAGUAGUUCACCAUAGACCUUCGGGUCCAUAGCUAGUAGCUAUAUGGCUUCUUCUCUCUCUUGGAUCUUCAAUACAAGGUUCUCCAUGAUCAUCAUGGAGAUCUAUCUGAUGUAACUUUCUUUUGCGGUGUGUUUGUCGAGAUCCGAUGAAUUGUGGAUUUAUGAUCAGAUUAUCUACGAAUAUUAUUUGAGUCUCCUCUGAUUUCUUAUAUGCAUGAUUUCGUAUCCUUGUAAUUCUCUUCAAUUUAUGGGUUUCAUUUGGCCAACUCGAUCUAUAAUUCUUGCAAUGGGAGAAGUGCUUGGUUUUGGGUUCAUACCGUGCGGUGUCCUCACCUAGUGACAGAAGCGGUAGCGAGGCAAGCAUCAUGUUGUUGCCAUCAAGGUUAAAAAGAUGGGGUUUAUAUCAUGUUGCAUGAAUUUAUCCCUCUACAUCAUGUCAUCUUGCUUAAGGCGUUACUCUGUUUGUUAUGAACUUAAUACACUAGAUGCAUGCUGGAUAGCGGUCGAUGUGUGGAGUAAUAGUAGUAGAUGCACAAAGUAUCGGUCUACUUGUCUCGGACGUGAUGCCUAUAUGUAUGAUCAUUGCCUUACAUAUAGUCAUGACCUUGUGCGAUUCUAUCAAUUGCUUGACAGUAAUUCGUUCACCCACCGUAAUACUUGCUAUCAUGAGAGAAGCCUCUAGUAAACACUAUGGCCCCCGGGUCUAUUUUACACAUUAUAUAUUCAGAUCUACAUACAAAAAUACCUUGAUGCACUUUUAUUUAUUUAUUUAUAUUUACCUAUUAUCACUAUGAGAGCUCACUUUGCAAGUAAUCGUAAAGGGAUUGACAACCCCUUUAUCACAUUGGUGCAAGUUUGUUUGUCUUUGCGCAGGUGCCUUGGUGCCUCAUCUUGAUACUCCUACUGGAUUGAUACAUUGUUUCUCAAACUAAGGGAAAUACUUAUCUCUACUUUGCUGCAUCACCGUUUCCUCUUCAAGGGAAAAACCAACGCAAGCUCAAGAAGUAGCACCAACUGCUGCUUGCUUUCAUGCUUCGAGCAGUGGCGAUGAGGCGCCACCUGAAGCGCUCUUGUUCCUGGGGGUCUUCUGGGACGAUAAAGUCCUGAGCGCUCUUGUUCCUAGGGGUAUUCUGGGACGAUAAAGUCCUCAGUAUUGAGGAGCUCGUCCUCCUCACACUCUGGCAUGUCAUUUUUGUGAGCCCCUUCAAAGAGGUCGUCAGGAUCUGCGUCCUUAGGAUUUACUUAGGGAUCACCUUCUGUACUCAAGAGGCUUGAGGUUUCUCUCACGUGUUCUCACCGUCGUCGGUCAUUGCCUCUCUGUCCUCAGUGGUGUCAUUUUUGUAGUUGUGCUCCCCAUUGUUCCGUCUUUGGUGUUUGCGUCCUCGUUUAGGAGGGGAUUUGUGGGUGUCUACCAUGUAGACGUCAUAGGUGGAUGUCGUUGUCUAGUUGCCUAUAUUUAUCAGGGGCGAAGUGUGUUCUUUAGGGCCAUCGACAUAUUCAUCCAUGUUUGUGGCCUCAUCAUAGUCCAGCACAUCGGUUAAGUCGUCGACCGUGGCGACUAGGUGAGUGGUGGGUGGGAUGCAAAUUUCCCGAUCGUCGGCUUUAAGUCCGAUCUUGUCAUAAACCUAAGUUGAGAUAGACAUAUUCUCGAUACGAUCGAGCAUCUCAUUAAGUGAUCCAACUCUUCAAAGUUCAUAGGCUGGCUAUAGGCAGGGAUGACUAGAAGUAUUCCCAAUGUAUAGUUUGGUGUUGGCUCAAGAUCCAACAUGGCUUGGGAAGUUGGGGCCAGCCCGAGCCCAGGUCGAGGUUUGAGGGGGCGUCGUACGGAGUCAUCAAAUCUCAGACUUCCGGUAUCACCAAGGUCUCUGGCCCGACCUCUUCAAAAGGCACCGGUUCCGGAGUUGAUCCUCCAGCGCCAGGCAGCCCCUCCACCAAGCCGACCAUCUAGCCUGACAAGAUGAGUUCUCCGUAGGAAUCCGCAGUAUAUUCCAAGCCUUUGAAGGUAACAUUCUGAUCCAGGGCACAGUUCUCAACAAGGGUCAGAUGGUCAAUCGAGUCGGUGCAAAACAUCAUGCUGCCAAACAUAGAGAGUUGGUUGGGGAAGAAGACACUCCCAUAGUCGGUACCAUAGUUGAUCUAUAGAUGGGCCAUUGAUCCUUCUGUUGGUCUCACAUCAGAACUCUCAAUGAAAGCACCAGUGAUGGUGUGAAAACGGGCAGACCUGUGGGUAGGCAGCCCCGAGUUGUGGAUCUCAGAUCAGUGGUAACAGGAAGAAAGGAGACAAUGUUUACCCAGGUUUGGUCUCUCUUGAUGGAUGUAAAACCAUAUCUCCUACUCUUGUUUAUACUGAUGGAGAAGUAUCGAGUAUAGAGUUGAUCUACCUCGAGAUCGUGAGACGUGUUGUAACCCUAGGGCUAGGUGAGUAAUGUUGUGUUCGAGUCCCUUCUGUGGGUGAAACCCCCAUGGUUUAUAUACACGCCAGGUAGGGUAUCUAGGGUUACAAGGUCGGUAUCCUAUGGUAAAGGCGGCAGAAGAAGUCCUGGAGUAUACGUCAAGCCUUCGGCAGAUGCAGUCUUGAUCAUGUUCCAUCGGGCAGUCUCCGGAGUCCAUCUUGAGAGGGCGGAGGACUCCCCAGCCCAGCCCGAAUAGGUUGGGCUAGGUAGGUUAGGACCCCUGGUCCAUCACAUCAUCAAUAUGGCAAUAAGAAUCUAGUCCUCAUACACACGCAAGUUCUUGUUAUAAGUGGUUUGGAAACAAUUGAUUACAAUCCAAUCUAAAAACUAGAAUUAAACUCUCUCAUAGAAGGUUGGUACAACGUCAUAAGUGCACGGCCUCUCAUGGGUUCGAUAACUCAGGGUCACACCUUCAGGAACCAGCUUGGGAACCUUUCUGCUAUUUGUUACUGAAUAACAAAGGGGACUCAUGAGAUAAACCCCUAGCAACGAGUUCCUCCCACUAACAUGGAGGAUGAACCAACCAACCCCCUAUAUAAUACAACCCCACACGACUACCAUCUGAAUAGGCAGGAAGAGGACAUAUGUGACGCCCUCGAUUUGAUCGUACGCUAAUCAUACACACAAAUGCGUACGACAAAGCUCAAGGACUCAUCGGAGGAUAUCACAACACAACUCUAGACACAAAUAAAAACAUACAAGCUUCAUAUUACAAGUCAGGGGGGCCGAGGGCUAGAAUACAGAAGCUCGAUAAACACACGAGUCAAUGGAAGCAACAAAUAUCUGAGUACACACAUGAAACAUGAUAAUGCCUUAGAGAAGGCUAGCACAAAAGAUACAAAGAUCAAACGAGGCGAGGCCUCCUGGAUGGGAACCUACUAAACUACUCCUGGUCGUCAGCGGCCUCUACAUAGUAGUAGGCACCGUCGGGGUAGCAGUCGUCAUCGGCGGGAUACGACAUCUCCUGGGCUCCAUCAUCUGGUUGUAGCAACGUAUCGAGGGGGAAAGGGGAAGCACAACAACGGUGAGUACUCAUCCAAAAUACUCGCAAGACUGACAUCGGAACUACGCUAAGUUAUGCAUCAGUAUCAAAGGAAGGGGUUAUAUGUGGACUGACUGCAGCAAUGCGAGAAUAGAUAGAGAAGGCCUAGUCCUAUCAAGGACUAGCAUCUUCAAUGUCUUACAGCAAUAGACGAGAGUAGAGCAAGUAAUGUAGAUAUAAUCAUAUUGUUGCAGCAAUUUUAAUAUGAGGUCACGCCCAAAGAUCCUUCCUCGACUCCCUGCGAGAAAGGGAUCCCGAAGCAAACAUUCCAGUUAAGUAACAAUUGUAGUUGUUUAAGAUCGGGGAACAACUCCAAAUCGUCCUAUAACCGUGCACACGGCUACUCGAAUAGUUAAUUCUCAUCCCUGCGCGGGUGCACCACAGCACCCAACACGCUUGAUAAACUCUGGUCGGACACACUUUCCUGGGACAUGCCCGGCCUCAGAAAAUCAACUUGUCGCAGCCCUACCUAAGCUCAACAGAGAGGCCAGCCUGCUGGUCUAAAUCCUAAGCGCACAGGGGUCAUCGGCACAUCACCCUCUGCGCUCCUACACGAGGCGAGGGCGGCCGAUGUCAGUCCUGGAAUCUCUUACACAAGAACGAUGCUUAUACGGGCCGCUCGAGCACACGCUGCUCCAUUGCUCAUGUGUGAAGAGCUUCGGUUGAUACAACGACGUCGAGUACCCAUAACUUCUCCCACGUGAAGGUUAGUGCGAAAAGGUCUCCCGACCAACUUAGAUCAAAUACCCAAAUCCAUUAGCAUUUUAAUUAACUCAUCAUCACAUCGAUGCAAGAAUCCACCCGCAACACACCGUCCAACAAUGUCCCAGUAACAAGGUCAAGUAAUUGUGUGGCUAUAACAUCAGAGGAAUCCGAGAUAUCACCCACGAUUGAUUACGAACGAUGUAGCCGUCAAGGUGGCCUAGGAGGAAUCACCCUCGAUGGACCACGCUUGAUGGGUGGUACGACAAAGUCGUUACCCGAAGUGGCGAAGGAGGCAUCACCCUCUGAGAACCACGUCGAUUUAUUACACUACAGAGCUAACAUCACGAGUACGUAUCGAGGUGUAAUCCUUGGUACUCGAUAGUAGCCAUGCAGCGUCGUACAACUAAGGGGGGUGUGAGUGCUGUGAUAGGUCAUGGCUCAUCGAUUAGAUGAUCGGGACUUGAUGAAAAAGCAGGGGCAACUGGAAUAAGGGUCAAAGGAGAUGACUGCUCCACCUAUACUAAACAGUUUUAAGGUGUAGUAGAAUAAAGUAGCAGUUUAUCAAAAACACACUAUGCAUCAGAUAUAGGAGCUAACUACAACACUAGAAAAAUUCUAAUGCAAGCAUGAGGGAGAAAGAAUAGGCGAUACAGAAAUGAUCAAGGGGGUGCUUGCCUUGUUGUUCUACGGCAAAGGGUUGAUCGUUAGGUGGGUAGUCGUACCCGGCAGCAGUGUCAGUGUCGGGGUCUACCGGAGAGAAGAGGGGGAAGAAACAAUAAAUAACAGCAACAGGUGCAACACGAUGCAAGACAUGGCAACAUGCAGUGCUAGGCAUGAACUAACGUGGUAUUAUUCGUUACAGACGGGUCGGGAAAAUAUCUGAUGAUAUUUCCCGGGUCUCUGGCUACUAGCGGAGAAGCGAAAUGGAGGGAAAAGUUCCAUGUUCGCUAUGAUAGAGACGCGUGACACACAAACGGAUAGCGUACCCGGGUUCGCCUCGUUUUUCUGAUCAACUUCCAUGUAUAAAUUAUUUUCAUCCGGAUUACAGAUUAUUUUAUAUAAAUUUUCAAAAAAAAUUUAGUUAAUUAGGAAUUAAGAAGAUUUAAUUAAUUUCAAUAAAAUAUAUGACAUCAGCAUGACGUUGUGGUGACAUCCGCAGUCAACUGUGGGGUUGACUAGUCAAACUAACAAGUGGGCGUGUGUUGUCAUAGUCACAUUUCUAAUUAAGUUUAAUUAACUUAACUCGAUUAAUUAGGGGGGUGGGACCCACAUGUCAUUGACACAUUAAUUAAAUUAAUUAGCAGAUUUAUUUAAACAUAUUUAAUUAGUAUUAAAUUAUAAGGCCCAUUUGUCAUAGUCUAAUAAAUUAACAAUAGAUUAGGUAAGCUAAUUAAUCUUAGUUAAUUAAUUAAUUUAACUAAUUAUUUAUUUUUAUUAUUUAGUUUUAUUAGAACAUUUUUAGGGGGUGUGUGCCCCAUUUGUCAUAGAGUGUUUUAGUGGCUAAGUGGGGCGGGGUGGUGGGGUGGGGAUUAACCCCACUACCGAGCAGCACUCGCACAGGCUCGAGGCCAGCCCUGGGCCAUGGUGAGGAGGGGAGGCGGCAGCGGAGGCGGCAUGUGGUGUAGGCAGCCCGGUGGCCGGAGCCGAGGGCGCACCGGGGGAGCACGGGCACCGGCGGUUGUAGUGCAGCGAGCACAGGGGGUGGCAUGGCUAGCGCGGGGUGCAAUGAGAGGCGCAGCGGCACGAAGCCGGAACGCAUGCGAGGUUUGUGGCAGCUCCGGCGAGCGUGUGGCUAGCGGAGAUGAGAUGCAGGCACACGGAGGGAGACGUGGUUGGGGCCGCACAUCGGUUAAGGAGAGAGGUUGCGGGCUCAGGGGCGAGGAGGAUCCGGUGGCUGUUGAGGGGGCGACGACGGUGACGGUCGUUGCUCGCGGGCGCCGGAGUGGAGUGGGAAGGCUCGGCGGUGAGGAGGGUCCGUCGGAGGAGGGGUUGAGGAGGUCCAGUGGUCUGUUCCGACGGAGGCGAGUCGAAGAGGAGGCGACGAGGCGAGGCGAGGUGGCCGGCGAUGGGGCACCGGCGAGGAGGGCCGGCAACGGCGGCGAUGGCUGCAGCUCGUCCGUGAGGGGUGGAGUUGUGGGGGGCGCAGCCGCUGGGGUGGAGGGGCCUGGUUUAACGCAUCGGAAACACCCGCCAGUGGUCGUUACUCCUCGCACGAUCUAGACUGGCCCCACAUAUCAAUACUAGUAUUUUCUAUGCACUUUUUCCUCACUCAUGCACACUCGGGGUCAACUUCCCGGUCGGUCAUCCAUCCUAUAACUGCUCCAAGCCACCCAUCCUAGAACUACUCCAAGCCGAGCACGCUUAAACUGGGAGUUCUAUUCGAAUGGGCUUCCGGAAAAGAAGAAAUUUCUUAUUGAUAUGAGCAGUCUAUCAUCCCGAAUAAGCCAGGCUAUCACAUACACCCCCACUCCGAGGAACCGACGUCCUCGUCGGGUCACAAGAAUGUUCCCUCUUGGCGCAAACGUUUGUGCAUCUAGUCUAGUACAUGUGUCAUGUCGUGUGCCACGACGGGUCACAAAUGUCACGAACAACAUGACCGCACAUGUGUCCGCAAACAUCCGUGUAACCUCGAGGGUCGGCUUUGAUACCAACUUGUAACGAUAUCCAUUCUUGCGAUACGACGAGAUGUGCUUCUAUCCCUGUCGAGGCCCUCUUGACAAAAUAAGGAUAGGAUCGCAUCUUGGGCAUUACACCUGGGGAAUCUAGCGUUUGGGGGGGGGUAUACCCCUUGGGGUAUAUGGGCCAGCUUGGCGUUUAGGUGGGCCGGAUGGUGGGUCUUUUAUUUUUUAUUUUUGUUUUAGCUUAACUUUUUUACAGGUUCUGUUUUAACAUAAUUACCACACCAUUUGACUUAAGAAAAAUAUGUGACCUCGCUAAAAAUACAUAUUAUAAUUUUAGACAAGGUCAUAAAAGUCUUGGUAGCCAUUUGAAAAUGUUUGAAAAAUACAUAAGCUAAAAAGGGCAUUCAAUAAUGUAUUUGACCAUUGAUUUAAAUAGUUUUGAAGCGCCAAAACACUUGCAAAAAUGUGGUUUGUAAUUUUAUAAAUACCUAAAGAAUAUUUGAAAACUACCAUGAUUUUUAUUCAUAGGUUUACAAAACUUUUAAUUACACUUUUCAAAUGAUUUUGAAUUGCAUAGGAACUUAAAUUAGAGUUUGACUCCGAAAGUGAUUAUUGUAUGGAUUAGCAACAUGGAUUAGCCUAAUCCUCGUGUUACUAUAGCUUGAUUACAAGGAUUACAGUAGCAUGAUCAGGGGAUAUCACAACAUAUCAACCACAACAAAAAUAAGGUGAAACUAUCAAACCAAUGAGAAAUAGUCACACAAAGCAUAGGUCAAUCUUAUGAAACAAUCAGAACCCCACACAUUCACAACCGUGUAGGAAGCAAGGAAGCAAGGAAGCAAACAAAAAGGGGAAACAACCGGUAAGUUACGAGUUAUGAUACCAACCCGCUAAUGGCACUCAUAAAAGCACAUGGCAACCUUGUACCAACUGACUAUGGAAGGACGGAAGGAACACACACCGAGGUGAUGAGUUCUCGUAGGGUCCAAAACAUGGGUUUAUAUUCCGAAGCACACCAUCCAAGUAGAUCCAACAACAUCCAUAGCAGGCCAAGCAUUCAAAAAACAUGAUAGUCGACUAGGGAAAUUGAUGGCAAGAGGUUGGGUACACGGUGCCUCUCUGCGUCCGACCAAUACUAAGAAGCGAACAUGCCCUAUGGUGCCCCAUCAAAUUCCACUACCCAAAGAAAGAAUCACCCACGAACUUCAAUGGCGCACAUUGAUGACCCACAAGUAUAGGGGAUCAAUCGUAGUCCUUUCGAUAAGUAAGAGUGUCGAACCCAACGAGGAGUAGAAGGAUCUGACAAGUGGUUUUCAGCAAGGUAUAUGUGCAAGCACUGAAAUUAUCGGUAACAAGUGAUUGUGUGGUGAGAUGAUUCGUAGCAAGCAACAAGUAACAAAAGUAGCAACGGUGCAGAAAAGUGGCCCAAUCCCUUUUGUAGCAAGGGACAAGCCUGGACAAAGUCUUAUAGGAGGAAAAACACUCCCGAGGACACAUGGGAAAUUCUGUCAAGCUAGUUUUCAUCAUGUUCGUAUGAUUCGCGUUCGUUACUUCGCUAGUUUGAUAUGUGGGUGGACCGGCGCUUGGGUACUUCACUUACUUGGAAAAGCAUCCCACUUAUGAUUAACCCCUCUCGCAAGCAUCCGCAACUACGAAAUAAGAAUUAAAACAAAGUCUAACCAUAGCAUUAAACUAGUGGAUCCAAAUCAGCCCCUUGCGAAGCAACGCAUAAACUAGGGUUUCAGCUUCUGUCACUCUAGCAACCCAUCAUCUACUUACUACUUCCCAAUGCCUUCCUCUAGGACCAAAUAAUGGUGAAGUGUUUUGCAGUCGACGGUCACAUAACACCACUAGAGGAAAAAUAACACAUCAAAAUAUCCAAGGAAUACCAAAUUCACAUGACUACUUAUAGCAUGACUUAUCCCAUGUCCUCAGGAACAAAAGUAACUACUCACAAAGCAUAAUCAUAUUCAUGGCCAGAGAGGUAAUGAGUAGCAUCAAAGAUCUGAACAUAAACUCUUCCACCAAGCAAUCCAACUAGCAUCAACUACAAAGAGUAAUUAACACUACUAGCAACCUUACGAGUACCAAUCGGAGUCGCGAGAUGGAGAUUGGUUACAAGAGAUGAACUAGGGUUUGGGGAUGACAUGGUGCUGAUGAAGAUAUUGAUGGUGAUGAGUCCCCUCCGAUGAGAGGAGUGUUGGUGAUGAUGAUGGCGACAAUUUCCCCCUUCGGGAGGGAAGUUUCCUCGACAGGAUCAUCCUGCCGGAGCUCCAGAUUGGUUCUGCUCAAGUUCCGCCUCAUGGCGGAGGCGAAUCCUCCGAAAAGCCUCCUCUUGAUUUUUCCCGGACGAAGCCCUUCAUAUAGCAGAAGAGGGGGCCAGUGGGCUAGCAGGGAGCCCACAAGCCCCCUAGGUGUGGCCAGGGGGGUGGCCGCGCCUACCAGGCUUGUGGCUCCCUAGUUGCGCUCUUGUGGCACUUCUUCGGCCCACUAUUUUUUAUAAUUCCUGAAAAAAUCCUCGUUGAUUUUUACGGUGUUUGGAGUUGCGCAGAAUAGGUAUCUCAAACUUGCUCCACUUUCAGGCCAGAAUUCCAGUUGCCGACAUUCUCCCUCUUCACGUAAACCUUGCAAAAUAAGAGAGAAAAGGCAUAAGUAUUGUACCGUGAAGUGAAAUAACAGCCCAAGAAACGAUAAAUAUCAACAUGAAAACAUGAUGCAAAAUGGACGUAUCAACUCCCCCAAGCUUAGACCUCGCUUGUCCUCAAGCGAAAGCCUAACUCAAUAAAUAUGUCCACAUGUUUAGGGAGAGAGGUUUCGACAAAACAAGAUACGAACAUGCAGGCAUCAUGAUCAUGAUCAGAAUAGCAAUACAAACAUAUAAUCUCUGAUGCUAAAGUGACAAUUCCUUCACAAAGUAAAGCAUGGAUCAAGAACCUUACCGAGAAGUAACAACCGAUAGUCUUUAGUCAUUGAAGCAAUUGCAAUUUAUCACAACAUCAGAAAGAGUCAAAAAAGAGCUUGUAAAGCAAAUCCACAUACUCAAUCAUCCUUUCGUUCUCUACAAUUGCUACAACUCACGUGGUACUCAUGAGAUCAAAGUUUCAGCUGGACACAGAGAAAGAUAGGGGCUUAUAUUUUUGCCUCCCAACUGCUUACCUCAAGAGUAAUGUCAACAAUAAUAAUUCAUGAAUACUUACUUCCAAGUUGACAUAUGAAUAUAGAUCUUUCCCAAGCAUAUGACGUUAGCCAAGGUAAAGGCGGAACAAGGAAUUGGUGAAGAUCACCAUGACUCUUUCAAGGGCAAAAAGUAAAGGUAUAAGAUAGGGCCUUCGCAGAGGGAAGCAGAGGUUGUCAUGCGCUUUUGAGGUUUGGAUGUGUGUCCUCUUAGUGCGGAGGAACGUCACUUUAUAUUGCCUCUUGUGAUAAAGAAUUUAUUAUGCAGUCUGUCCCUUUUAUGUCUUCCUCAUCACAGGUUCGUACAAAGCUUAUUUUCCACACACUAAUAGAUCAUACAUAUUAGGGAGCAAUUUUUAUUGCUUGCACCGAUGACAACUUACUUGAGGGAUAUUAUUCAAUCCAUAGGUAGUUAUGGUGGACACUCAUGGAAAAACUGGGUUGAAGGUUUAUGGAUGCACAAGUAGUAUCUCUACUUGGUGCGGGACUUUGGCUAAUAUGAGGUGGAAGCAAUCUUCGCAUGCUAAGGGAGCUCUAAUCAUAUAACCUUGUUUGGAACCAAGCGAACACAAUUCAUUAUGUUGUCUUCCUUGUCCAACAUCUACUUCUAGGCAUGCAAUAGUUUAGUGAGUAUUCACAACCAUAGAUGGUGUCAAAGAUGAUAUAUUUAUAUGUGAACCUCUCCUUCUUUAUCACUUCCUAUUAAUUGCAACAAUGACCAAGGUCUAUGUUUGUCCACCCUCAACAAGUUUCAAUCAUCAUUCUUUUUAUAUGUGAAGCCAUCACUUCCCAUAAGAUCAUUACAUGAUCUUUCAUGCUUUUGUUCUCUUCUCACUCUUUUGAUCAUGGCAAGAGGCAAAGCCUUUCAACUAAGACACUCUUUAUUAUAUGGCUCGCGAGCUCGAAUACAUUGGGGGUGACACAAAGCGAAACUCAAGACUAAAACACUAAGACUUUUAUUCUACUAGAGAAAGAGAAAACUGAAAAGGAACAAACUAAUACGAAGGUAAAGGAAAAACAUGUGAUGGUGAUACGAUACCGGGGCAAUUCCCCCAAGCUUGGCACAAGCCAAGGGGAUUGCCCAUACCCAUGCUCAGUUGUCUUCCUUUGGAGGUGAUGGUGGUGGAGUUGUUGCAGAGGUCUUGAGCUUGUUUAAUUUCCACUUGAGCAUAUAAUCCUGCUCCCUCAGAUCAUCAUUUUCAUCUUCAAGCUUCAACACCCUUUGGCAUAAUUCCUGCUUACUCUCCUGCAAGAAACGAGAAGGGAUAAACAAAGUCUUAGACUUCUUCCUUGAGUCAGGGAGGCUUGACUUCUUGAACUCCACAUGCGUGUGUCCAGGUUGAGGUAGACGAGCCUCCUCUUCAUCAGAACUUGUUUGUUCCUUCCCCUUUGGAUCAUAAUCUUCUUCCUCGUCAGUGGUCCAGCCAUAAGGAUCCAAGUCCCCAUAGACCUUGGUAUUAGCAAGGUAAUCUGCCACAUAGCUCUCCCCCUCUGAAUCUUGAGAAGACAUCUUGUCCUAAAUCUGCAGCAGAAAACAGGUUCGAAACAAAAACAAAGAGAAUUUGCGUGAUACAGGGGUCAGACCUCGCGGGAUAAUAUAUAAUGAUUUUUUUCAGACCAGAAGGAGUACUCCGCAUGAAAAAGGAGUCCGGGAGGCACACGAGGUGGCCACAAUCCCCCGAGGCGCGGCCAGGGGUGGGCCCGCGCUUGGCAGGCUUGUCGCCUCCUCUCGCACUUUCCGGACUACUUCCAAUUUUUGUAUUUUUUAAAUAUUCCAAAAUGGAGAAAAAUUCCUACUCGAAAGGUUUUGGAGUCUGUUUUCUUACCAAAUCACAUACCCCUUCGUUUUCGGAGUCUGAAACAGGCUGAUAAAUAUCCCUUAGGUAUUCUUCCGGAGUUAUGGUAUUGAUGAUAUUGCUUUCAACAUUUAUGGGAGUACCUGAGAUAUAAUGCUUGAUUCUCUGCCCAUUUACAACUCUCGGACAAUUACCUUCCGUGUUGUUGAUUUUGAUAGCGCCGGAACGAUAUACUUCCUCAACAAUAUAGGGACCUUCCCAUUUAGAGAGAAGCUUGCCUGCAAAGAAUCUGAAACGAGAGUUAUAUAGCAAGACAUAAUCACCUACAUUGAACUCGCGCUUUUGUAUCCUCUUAUCAUGCCACCUCUUAACCUUCUCUUUGAACAACUUGGCAUUCUCAUAUGCCUGAAUUCUUCAUUCAUCAAGCAAGCUAAUGUGAAAUAACCUCUUCUCACCAGCAAGUUUGAAAUCAAAGUUGAGCUCUUUGAUUGCCCAAUAAGCUUUAUGCUCUAGCUCAAGAGGUAAAUGACAUGCUUUUCCAUACACCAUUUUGUACGCACACAUGCCCAUGGGAUUCUUAUAGGAAGUUCUAUAAGCCCACGAUGCAUCAUCGAGCUUCUUAGACCAAUUCUUUCUAGACCUGUUGACAGUCUUUUGCAGAAUCAGUUUAAUCUCUCUAUUGCUUAGCUCUACUUGACCACUGGACUGAGGGUGAUAGGGAGACACAAUUCUAUGGUUGACAUCGUACUUAGCAAGCGUUUUACGGAAAGCACCGUGAAUGAAAUGUGAACCAUCGUCGGUCAUUAGAUAUCUAGGGACUCCAAAUCUAGGGAAAAUAACUUCUUUAAGCAUCCUGAUAGAGGUGUUGUGAUCAGCACUACUAGUGGUAGUGGUUGUGCGAGGAUCAGAAGUCUGUGAUGUCAUUUUAAAUCUGUGAUGUCAAAUACAUGUGUUUUUUACUAAAUUUGUAAAAAGAAAUAGAUGAUAUAUACUUGUGUACAAAGGAUUUGUCAAACCUGUGUGGUCAAUUGACUGCACUCUUCUCAACGUGGCUUCGCCACUGACUAGUGGGGAUAGCUUCUACCCACUUAGUGACAUAAUCAACAACAACUAGGAUAUGAGUAUACCCGUUGGAUUUUGGAAAAGGUCCCAUAUAAUAAAAGCCCCAGACAUCAAAUGGUUCAAUGACAAGUGAAUAGUUCAUAGGCAUUUCCUGACGUUUGCUAAUAUUACCUAUUCUUUGACAUUCAUCACAAGACAAGACAAACUUACGGGCAUCCUUGAAGAGAGUGGGCCAAUAGAAACCAAAUUGCAAUACCUUGUGUGCAGUUCUAUCUCCCGCAUGGUGUCCUCCAUAGGCCUUAGAGUGACACUUCUGUAGGAUCUGUCUGUGUUCUUGUUCAGGUUCAUAACGUCUAAUAACACCAUCUACUCCUUCCUUAUAAAGGUGAGGAUCAUCCCAAAAGUAAUGUCUCAAGUCAAAGAAGAAUUUCUUCUUUUGCUGGUAUGUGAAACUAGGUGGUAUAUAUUUAGCAACAAUAUAGUUUGCAUAAUCUGCAUACCACGGUGCACUACGUGAAGCAUUGAUGACAUUCAAUUGCUCAUAGAGAAAGCUAUCAUCAAUAGGUUGUGGGUCAUCAAGAACGUUCUCCAACCUAGACAAGUUAUCUCGUACUGGGUUAUCAGCACCCUUUCUGUCAACAACGUGCAAAUCAAACUCUUGUAGAAAGAGAACCCAUCUGAUAAGUCUAGGUUUAGCGUCCUUCUUCUCCAUGAGGCACUUAAUAGCAGCAUGAUCAGUGUGAAUAGUGACUUUGGAAUCAACUAUGUAAGACCUGAACUUUUCACAUGCAAAAACGACUGCUAAAAAUUCCUUCUCCGUAGUAGCAUAGCUUCUUUGGGCACUGUCUACAGUUUUACUAGCGUAGUGAAUAACAUUCAACUUCUUAUCAACUCUUUGCCCUAGGACAGCACCAACAACAUAAUCACUAGCAUCUCACAUGAUCUCAAAAGGUAGGUUCCAAUCAGGUGGUUGAACAAUAGGUGUAGUUAUCAAAGCCCUCUUAAGUAUUUCGAAGGCUUCCUCACAAUCAUCGUCAAAAACAAAAGGAAUAUCCUUUUGCAAGAGAUUGGUAAGAGGCCUAGAAAUCUUAGAGAGGUCUUUAAUGAACCUUCUAUAGAAACCAGCAUGACCAAGGAAACUUCUUAUACCUUUGAUAUCUGUGGGGUAUGGCAUUUUCUCGAUUGCAUCAACCUUAGCAUUAUCGACUUCAAUACCUCUUUCGGAAAUUUUAUGUCUUAAGACGAUGCCUUCAUUAACCAUAAAAUGGCACUUCUCCCAAUUCAAGACAAGAUUGGUAUCUUUACAUCUCUACCAUACUCGAUCAAGGUUGCUGAGGAAAUCAUCAAAAGAAGACCCGUAAACGGAGAAGUCAUCCAUGAAAACCUCGACAAUCUUUUCACAAAAGUCACAAAAUAUAGCCAUCAUACAUCUUUGAAAGGUGGCACGUGCAUUACAUAAGCCAAAAGGCAUACGUCUAUAAGCAAAGGUACCGAAAGAGCAGGUUAAAGUGGUUUUCUUCUGAUCAGCUUGUGCAACUGGUACUUGGGAGAAACCAGAAUAACCAUCUAGAAAGCAGAAGUGUGUGUGUUUAGAUAGUCUUUCUAGCAUUUGGUCGAUAAAAGGCAAAGGGUAAUGAUCUUUCCUAGUGGCUUUAUUCAAUUUCCUAAAAUCGAUCACCAUCCUAUAGCCAGUAAUAAUCCUCUGUGGGAUCAAUUCAUCCUUAUCAACAGGGACAACGGUAAUGCCUCCCUUCUUAGGGACGCAAUGCACCGGACUCACCCAUUCACUAUGAGCAACAUGAUAGAUAAUACCUGCUUCCAGGAGCUUUAGUAUUUCUUUUCUUACUACUUCUUUCAUGUUAGGAUUCAAUCUCCUUUGAUGAUCAACAGCUGGUUUGAAGUCAGGAUCGGUUUUAAUCUUGUGCUGGCAUAGAGAGGGACUAAUGCCCUUAAGAUCAUCAAGAGUAUAUCCAAUAGCAGCACGGUGCUUCCUCACAGUUUUUAGUAACUUCUUUUCUUCAUGCUCUAAGAGGCUAGCACUAAUUAUAACAGGAUAUAUCUCUUUUUCAUCAAGAUAGGCAUACUUAAGUGUAUCAGGCAACUGUUUAAGCUCGAACAUAGGAUCACCCUUUGGUGGGGGUGGAUCCCCAAGCAGUUCAACAGGCAGAUUAUUCUUAAGGAUAGGAUACUGUUCUAAGACAACUCUAUCUAUUUCAUCCCUUUCAUCCAUAUGCAUAUCAUUUUCAUGCUCAAGCAAGUAUUGCUCUAUGGGAUCAGUAGGAGGCACGGCAAUAGAAGCUAAGGCAAUAGUUUCAUCCUUACUAGGCAACUAUUUUAAAUGAGGUUGUCUACCAAACUUGGAGAAAUUGAACUCGUGUGACACACCUUCAAAGCCAACAGUGACAGUUUGCUUCUCACAAUCAAUAUGAGCAUUGACGGUAUUGAGAAAAGGUCUACCAAAUAUGAUGGGACAUAAGCUAUCUGUGCGGUAGCAAGAACGAGGAAAUCAGCAGGAUACUUCGUUUUACCACACAAGACUUCAACAUCCCUAACAAUUCCCACAGGGCAGAUAGUAUAUCUAUUGGCAAGCUGAAUAGUGACAUCAAUAGGCUCUAUCUCAAUAGGUGCAAUCUCGUCCUUGAUUUCAUCAUAUAAGGAUUGAGGUAUUGCACUAACACUAGCACCCACGUCACAUAAACCAUGAUAACAAUGAUCUCCUGUCUUAACAGAAACAACACGCGUGCCAACAAUAGGCCCAUGUUUGUCUCUAGCGUGAGGUUUAGCUAUUCUAGCAUCAUCUUCACAUAAGUGAAUAUCGUGUCCCUCAACAUCGUCGGAUAGAAGAUCUUUGAUAAUAGCAAUUCUAGGUUCAACUCUAAUUUGCUCAGGGGGUGUAGGUGUUCUUAUGUAGCCUCUACGUAUCACAGUUGAAGCUUUAGAAUGGUCCUUUAUCCUAACAGGGAAAGGUGGUUUCUCAAUGUAAGCACUGGGAACAAUAGGAUCAUUAUAGGCAAUGACUUUCUCUUCAACUAGAUUGUGUUUAACUACAUUGACUCCUAAAGGAGGGUGAUAUUUAAACCACUUCUCUUUGGGUAGAUCAAUAUGAGCAGCAAAUGAUUCACACAGUGAAGCUACUAUCUCAGAGUCAAGUCCAUACUUAGCGCUAAAGUCACAAAAAGUAUUUGUUUCAACAAAGGAUUUAACACAACCAAACGUGAAAUUCAUACCUGACACCUUACCUUCUUCAAGCUCCCAAUAUUCAGAGUUGCGUUUAAUUCUCUCCAAUAAAUUCCAUCCAAAAUCAAUAUCUCUCUUCAUAAAAGAACCAGUACAAGAAGUGGCAAGCAUGGUGCGAUCAUCAUGAGAAAGUCGAGCAUAGAAGUUCUGAAUGAUAAUUUCUCUCGAGAGAUCAUGGUUGGGGCAUGAAUAUAACAUUGAUUUAAGCCUCCCCCAAGCUUGAGCGAUGCUUUCUCUAUCACGAGGCCAAAAAUUAUAAAUAGAAUUCUGAUCACGGUGUACUAAAUGCAUAUGAUAAAACUUUUGAUGAAAUUCCAAUUUCAACCGAUUGUAGUCCCAUGAUCCGGUAUCAUCACAUAGCCUAUACCAUGUCAAUGCCUUAUCCUUCAAAGAUAAAGGAAAGACCUUCUUCUUGACCUCAUCCUCGGGCAAACCUGCAAGGUUGAAUGAACCACAAACUUCAUCUACAUAGAUUAGAUGCAAGUCUGGAUGUGAUGUUCCAUCUCCUGUAAAAGGAUUAGCCAGCAGUUUCUCAAGCAUACCCGAAGGAAAUUCAAAGCAAAUAUUUUCAGUAGGUGCAUCAGGUUGAGGAGCAACUCUUUGUGCUUCCAUUCGAGGUGAAGAUACCCCGAACAAGCCCCUCAAAGGAUUAGUAUCCAUAGUGACAAGUGACAAUAGAUUUCAGCACACUAUAUGAAUGUUUCCUUACCAAUUUCCACUUACCAAAGGCGCCUCACCUCCCGGCAACGGCGCCAGAAAAGAGUCUUGAUGACCCACAAGUAUUGGGGAUCAAUCGCAGUCCUUUUGAUAAGUAAGAGUGUCGAAACCAACGAGGAGCAGAAGGAUCUGACAAGUGGUUUUCAGCAAGGUAUAUCUGCAAGCACUGAAAUUAUCGGUAACAAGUGAUUGUGUGGUGAGAUGAUUCGUAGCACGCAACAAGUAACAAAAGUAUCAAUGGUGCAGCAAAGUGGCCCAAUCCCUUUUGUAGCAAGGGACAAGCCUGGACAAAGUUUUAUAGGAGGAAAAACGCUCCUGAGGACACAUGGGGAAUUCUGUCAGGCUAGUUUUCAUCAUGUUCGUAUGAUUCGCGUUCGUUACUUUGAUAGUUUGAUAUGUGGGUGGACCGGCGCUUGGGUACUGCCAUUACUUGGACAAGCAUCCCACUUAUUAUUAAACCCUCUCGCAAGCAUCCGCAACUACGAAAGAAGAAUUAAGACAAAGUCUAACCAUAGCAUUAAACCAGUGGAUCCAAAUCAUCCCCUUGCGAAGCAACGCAUAAACUAGGGUUUAAGCUUCUGUCACUCUAGCAACCCAUCAUCUACUUACUACUUCCCAAUGCCUUCCUCUAGGCCCAAAUAAUGGUGAAGUGUUAUGUAGUCGACGUUCACAUAACACCGCUAGAGGAAAAACAACAUACAACAUAUCAAAAUAUCGAACGAAUACAAAAUUCACAUGACUACCUAUAGCAUGACUUAUCCCAUGUCCUUAGGAACAAAAGUAACUACUCACAAAGCAUAAUCAUAUUCGUGACCAGAGAGGUAAUGAGUAGCAUCAAAGAUCUGAACAUAAACUCUUCCACCAAGUAAUCCAACUAGCAUCAACUACAAAGAGUAAUAAACACUACUAGCAACCUUACAAGUACCAAUCGGAGUCGCGAGACGGAGAUUGGUUACAAGAGAUGAACUAGGGUUUGGAGAUGAGAUGGUGCUGAUGAAGAUAUUGAUGGUGAUGAGUCCCCUCCGAUGAGAGGAGUGUUGGUGAUGACGAUGGCAAGGAUUUCCGCCUUCGGGAGGGAAGUUUCCCCGGCAGGAUCGUCCUGCCGGAACUCUAGAUUGGUUUUGCUCAAGUUCCGCCUCAUGGCGGCGGGAAUCCUCCGAAAAGCCUCCUCUUCAUUUUUUUCCCGGACAAAACCCUUCAUAUAGGAGAAGAGGGGGGACAGUGGGCCAGCAGGGAGCCCACAAGCCCCCUAGGGGCGGCCAGGGGGUGGCCGUGCGUACCAGGUUUGUCGCUCCUUGGUUGCGCUCCUCUGGCACAUCUUCGGCACAGUAUUUUUUAUAAUUUCCAAACAAAAAUCCUCGUUGAUUUUUACGGCGUUUGGAGUUGCGCGGAAUAGGUAUCUCAAACUUGCUCCACUUUCAGGCCAGAAUUCCAGCUGCCGGCAUUCUCCCUCUUCAUGUAAACCUUGCAAAAUAAGAGAGAAAGGCAUAAGUAUUGUACCGUGAAGUGAAACAAGAGCCAACAUGAAAACAUGAUGCAAAAUGGACGUAUCACAUAUCCAAUGCGAGCUUUCUGCGUUUUUAUGGGCAUGAUUUAUGUGAUAUAUUUGUUUUAUUUACACAUUUAGUUAUUUGUGAUUGAUCUUUACUAAGAUAUGAUAUAGUUUUCCUUCUACCUUUCAUAAUUGUCCUUGAGAUCGCAUGAGGCUACUCAUCUAGCGGCUCUACGACCCAUGGGACGUGUGCCACACCAUCCACACGUCUAUGUGAGUAGGGUUGUGAAGCACUAGAACUAAUGCACAUAUAAAAUUACAUAACAAAGAACAAAUUUUAAGACAUAAGAACAACCAAUAUGUAAACAUCAUAAUAUUUCAAGCUAUAUUGCUCAUACAUCAACCAUAAUGGAUGGUUAUUAUACAUGAUAAAAACAUUGCCCUCAACGAAAUUGCGUUGUGCUUACAUAUGAUUCCCUUAGAAACGAACAAAAAAAGACCAAAAGCAUCGCUAAGGCAAGCAAAUGGAACCUAGACAUGUACAAAGGCAACACAUGGUGUAAUAUUAUACCAACCUAUAGAUCAAGCUGAACCAAGCUGUUAUGCUUGCUACGGCCUUCAUCGGCACCCCUACAAAAGUGUCGCAUGCAUGAAACCAAGACACAAUCACUCCAGUUCUUUCCAUGCUAGUUGAUGUGUGAAAGCAAGGUAGUUGCAUCAGCUAUGUGCGGCUAGAUAAUUAGUUGUUUGAGUCACAAGCAUGAGGUUGCAACAAGGUCAUACCAAAGGCAAAACGUUACAUAGAGAGAGGAGAAUGAAAAAUAAACUUACCAAGAGAAAUAAAAGAGCAGACCAGAACAUAAAAUGCUCAAACCUUCUAGUGGUUUGAAAUAAGAAUAAUCCCCCCAAUCUCCUUCAUAUGUUUCCUAGCGCGAUUAGCUAGCAUCUUCUCGAACCUUUUAGAGAAGCUAUGUGUUAGACCGAUGGAGCGGAAGUGCCCUAUUUCCUUCGUGUCUACCUUCUUCGGGAUAAAGGCAAUAAGGGCCUUAUUUAGCUUAGUGAAUCCCCUACCAUCUCCACCAUACAACUUAAGUAAGACAACCAUAAUGUCCUUCUUAAUUAUCGGUCAUGCCAUGGGAUAAAACGCACUAAGAGCAAGUACAAUAGAGCUGAGUCAACUGGCUAUAAGAAUAAAAUAGUAUAAUUUUUCUUAGUUGGAGGAAAGAGAAAAGGAGAGAAAAGGUAAGCGAGCUCUUAGGCCUAUGCCAAUGGAGGUUUCUUAGCGCGGGUUCAUAGGCGUUUUGCUGAUGUGCCACACUAGUUAACGAUGAGAGAGAGGUAUUGUUGUAUCUUAGCUAAGAUACAACAUUUGCACGCCACCAUAGGUAAAAAUGGUUAAUAGCCCAAUCACAUCUAUGCAUGCGCAACAAAUCAUUAAAUUUGGAGAUAACCUCUAAGAAAUAAUGCAUUGGGCUAGUAGUCUCUUAAAUUAUUAAUGCUUCUAUAAUAGCAUGUUAAGAAAUGAUGCAUUGGCACAUGCCUUAGUUAAGAGACACCUCUAGCACAUGAUCCUAAGUAGUUUCUGAGAGUGAAAGGUGGGUCAUAUAAUAAAAAAAAUAGUACACUCUUCUAAUCAACUAUUGUACAUGUUGACUAUAAGAUGGGUUAUAGAUGACAUGACAAUGCCUUAUAGCCAGCAACUUUCUAUACUAUUAACCAUGCUCUAAUUAAUAAGACCAUCGCGCCCCAAUGCAUGACCAAGGGGAAACUCCUAGAUUAUGUUUCAAACUUCAUCUUCUGUAAAUAUAUUCUCAAGCUCAUGUAGAUCAACCGCUUCCAUGUCGAGGUAGCUAACAUGGAUCGUGUGAUCCCUUGCAUGUGUUAUCCCUAGCAUGUCUUUCCAAGGUCCACACCUUGGGACCCCCUACUCGAGAUCCCCCGGUUUUAACACCGGCAUUGGAGCUUUCAUCGAGAGUUGCAUUGUAUGAUCGGGACAAGAAAUGAUGGCUCGUGCGCAGACAGAUUUUAGUUUUUUCUGGACAACGAAUUUUGUUCAUCAUUGAGCGUCGCUAUGACGAUUGCGUUGUUGAAAUUGUGCAGAAUUGUAUCUACAACAACCCACCAAAAUUUCGUUGCUUUCCGAUGGAGGAAUCUCCGGCGAUCUCCGGUAUACCGGAGCCGUGUCGAAUCUGGACGGGAAUCUGGAUGAGUUUAGGGCGAGGGGUCCACUAUCCAGCUCGGACAUCCGUUGGAAAAUCCCACCGUUCAUUGGGUGGGGAAUUCUUAUAUCAAUCACCCCUCAAAUUUUACCCCGAUGUGACCGUCCAAACUCUAGAAAACAUCCGAUAAGUACAAUGAAUUUCGGAUCCUUUUUUUUGCAAAACAAAUCCGACCCGUGUUCAUCUUUCUUUUUGAAUGGGGUUUGGAAGGAAUAUUUUUAAGGUAUUAUGUGUUGUUAUAAAACACAUGCACAUAAAUUUUAAGACUUUUUCAAGACAAUCCUCACAAUUACGCUGGUGUCAGACCAGCCCGGCAACGUUGCUCCACAGCUGCCGACCUGCAGUAGAAAAAUCAUCGCUUCAUCGACCAAGGUUGAUCUCAUCGGAUCAAUACCUCGGCGAUCCGACCAAGAGUUCGGCAUCACGAGGGGCGAAUAAUCUCCGGAGAAUCUCAUCACCCGUUGGUUGCACGGGUCGGGUACGCUGUUAAUUCAUCAAGCCACCAUUUAUCGCCGUCACAAAUUCCAACCUGCAUCGGCAUCGCCGUGCCAUUGCUUCUUCAAGCCGACGUUCAACACACGACCUGCUUCGACACGUCGGCUGGCAUGGGGGCUCUAGAGCCACCUUACCGGACUAUGACAUCAUCUCAGCUAGACCGGGGGCUUCAUCAUCUCUUCAUCAACCUCUUGUGAGGUCUUCGGCGUCAUCGGCCAACCAGCUUCGUCACCUCGGCUCGACUGCGGGCUUCGCCUCGCCACAUCAGUUGUGCCGCAUCGCGACUUCAUCAAGCCGAUCUCUUUGAUCGGGCACCUCCAUGCUUAGGCUAUAUUUUUUCUAAUUAUUUACUUCACUUAAGUUAAUUAAGUAGAGGAUUUUUAUUAUUUGAUACUACUUUUGGCUUGCACUAUUUUAUGUUUACACCUGAUUGUCUCCGACCGUGUUAUAGAGUCACCUCGGCGCGCCAACGUCGUCAUCAAGCCUCCGUCAACCCAACUCCAUCGUCGACAUGGUCGACUAAUGUGGGGGCUUCGCUAUCACACUGCUGAAGUACUCUGUCUCCUCGGCUAGACCGGGGGUUUCGCCUCCGCCCUUCCAAAGUGUUGUGUUGUCACUUCGUUAAGCCGAGCUCUUCAUUGACUACCUCGUGAUAGGCUUGGGGCCUGGGACCUCGGACCGCUGCAAGCUCGGACCAUGUCACACCAAGCACAUUAACCAGCUAAGUCACUUGCAUGCUCAAUUUAUUUCAUUUUUAAUUUCUACGCCUUCCAGCCAAGCAUUAUAUUUGUGUUAAACACAAAAGUUGUUUGUUAAAAACUUAGCUUGUUAAGAGUAUUUUUUGUUAUAAACACUUCCUUUACCCAUGUUACCUCGGGGCUCUUAAAAAUUUAUAUGAGCCUUUUUAUAAUAAAUAUUUUCUUCUUGGGCAUUGCAAAUUCUUUUUCUACUACUCCUUUUUCUGACACGAGUGUUUGGUCAAUAGCCGAGUAGCCUAGUUUCUCUCUAAAGCCACUUGAGUUUAGUUCGCUAAACAGGCCUCGAAGAAACACUCCGCCCUCGGGAUAUGGAGGUUGAAGCCAAAGGUUGGCCCGCUUGAAGUCUGAGAGAUCGGACGUAUCAUGUUAAAGCACGACUGAAGCACAUAUUAAUUUUAAGACCAAUUUUCGAAUUUGCCCCAAGAAACUGGAUUUAGUUUGGAAUGUAAUGUUUUUGCUAAAGUUUUUUGGUUUUCUGUGCUUUAGACACCUUUGACCUAUUAUAUGUUCUUACGUUAGGAGGCGGGACAACCUCACGACUCAGGUGCCCCGCGUAAUAUUUAAGCUCGGGAGAUUUUUUCUGACCCACAUUCUGGUAUCUUUCUUGCCGACUUCCACCUCGGAGUUGGCAAAACUCACAUGACAUGUGGACUAGUUCCCGAGGGGAUUCGAUCCUCACGUUGGUCGGCCGCAUCCAACCUGGGUGUCGGGGGAUACUGUGUGUCUCAAGCAUAGCUCUCAUAGUACGACAUUGGAUGCCUUUAAACUAUCGGCAAUAUCAACGAAGGCUUCGACUAGAGCCGAACCGAGCAAAAGCCAAGGUACUGCGACAAAUCAUCGACAAAGCGUUCUCGGAUAUUGCCUUAUGUGCAUUAGUUUUGAAUGUGUCUUCGAUCAAUAGUUGGGUUGGCCUGCUCCUAUGAUUGCCUCCUACGUUCUGCUUUGACCGGCUAGAUGUGCAAAGGAAGAACCACUCCGAUUGUACUUCUGAUUUAACUCGUAAAGUACCUCAGUGGAGAAAGCCUAAAACUGACUAUCACAAUGAGCGCAAGCUGGUCAGCGAUCCGAUGACUGUGUGAAACUAUAGACCGAUAGAGGUCACCCCAUGGGCCUUUCAUAAAUUUUGUCAGAGUGUUAAUGGCUUGACCUCGAGUGACGCGGAACAUUAACCGAGGGCUAGUAACUGGCCUCCUAAACUCUAAGCUCCUAUGACUAAGUGAAAGUUAUAAAGCCUAGAUAUUUGAUUGCCUCAUUUCCGCUAUCACAACCUCCUCCGAGCACCGAGACGUCGGAUAAGGGUUGUCUUGUUAUUGCGGAAACACCCUGCAUAGCAUCUUCAAAGGAGUAGAAGACGAUGAUGGGCCGCUUUCAAAUGAUAAACGGUCACAAAGGAGUUGAAAUAGCAUAUAGCAUUAAAGCAUUUGUAUGCAAUAUGCCAGUGUUGUCUUCCGUAAUCAUCACUAUAAAGCCUUAAAUAUGCAUAGAUUUGACUUAAGAUUUUUGCCAAGCUGGGUGGCGUGGCUCCUGUGCUUACCCCCUACGUUCCCGAUCGUUCGGGCAGGGGGAAAAGGGAGCACCUUUGUGAUUGUUACUUCCGAGUCAUCCGGAUUAGUACCUCAGACUGGGUGAAGCCAAAAGCUAGCCAUCUUAAGAGUAUAAUUGGUCAGCAAGGGCGAAAGUGAAAAUUUAGGUUCAUUAAAGACCACAGAGUUCGGGAAUUUCCCCCAAACUAAAUUCCUCAGUAUUUUCCUCCCACAUUGAUCGGAGGUGGGGUUUCAUGAUCAUGGUAAACAACAUAUCCUCGGAAAAGGAACGUAUAAAUGAAUUGUUUUUCCUAGAAGAUGUUUCUUACAUUAAAUAGUAAUAUAACAUGUUUCUUUGCGUACCUUUGUUAAUAAAACCGUAUGACCGAAUUGCCUUAUUUGCCGUAAAUCUUGGCCCUUAUAAAGGCUUUAUAAAGUAGGAAAAGCACUCCUUGGCUACUUGCCGACGAGGAUGAAGCCGAUGGUCGGUCAACAAAGUCUUGUACAAUGGUGAUCCAAGCAUUAAUGAUGUAAAUCACUUGGAUACAUAUAAUCAUUACACGUAAAUCAUGUCACACUUAAAAAAGUUUGUGUCAAACAAAUAUCGACCCUUAAUUAGACCACUCGUGCCCAAAUUAAGGCUCGGGGGCUAUUGCAUUUCUUAUUAAAUGCAGAUAAUUCAAAGUGCAAUACGGUUUCUAAGGAGAUUCGAUCCUCAGGUUGGUCGGCCACACCCAACCUGAGUCUCGCAUGCUACUGCACACGUGAAGGAAACUUGAUUUAGUUCGGAACUUAAUGUUUUUGCUAAAGUCUCUAGGUAUUGCCGAGCUUAUGGCACCUUUAACGUGUUUGCAUGUUGUUUCUUUCAGGAGGUGGAACAUCCUCUUGAUCGAGGUGUUCUCCGUGGUGAUUCUUCUCGAAGAAUUUCUUCCGACCUACAGUUCGACAUCUUCCCUGCCGAGCUCCACCUCGGUGUUGUCAAAACACACUUAAUGGAUGAAAUAGUUCCCAAGGUGAUACGAUCCUAGGGUCGCCCAUGUUACCCAACCAAGUCUUGGGGGCUACUGGUUAUAUAUCUCGUUAGAUAAUAAAUUACCCAAAUCGGAAAAUCUUUUCGACCCGCUGUUCGACAUCUUUCCCGUCAAUGUGAGUCUCGGGGGCUACUGGGAUCAGAAAUUUUAUUUUUAUCCUUCAAGUGCACCUCGGAUUUUGGACCGCACACACCUUGAGGGCUAUUGGCUAUACAUCUUGGUAGUAAAUAAAUUACACCAAUCGGAAAUAAAUUCUCCAAAAAACAGCCUCAAACCAAGGUGGUGCACUAUUGGAAAUAUACCUUACAGGCAAUAAUAAAAUAGUUAUUAUUACAUUACCUGUUUCAAGAUAAUCGUUUAUUAUCCAUGCUAUAACUGUACUGAAUGGAAACAUAAAUGCAUGUGUGGAUAUACAGACAAAAUUGUGUCUGUAGUGAGUCUCUAGUUGACUAGCCUGUUGAUCAAGGAUGGUUAAGGUUUCCUAGCCAUAGACAAGUGUUGUCACUUGAUGACGGGAUCACAUUAUUAGGAGAAUGAUGUGAUGGACAACACCCAAACUAUAAACGUAGCAUAUUAUCGUGUCAUUUUGUUGCUAAUGUUUUCUGCAGGUCAAGUAUUCAUUCCUAUGACCAUGAGAUCAUGUAACGCACUGACACCGGAGGAAUGCAUUGUGUGUAUCAAACGUGGCAACAUUACUCGGUGACUAUAAAUGUACUCUACAGGCAUCUCUGAAGGUGUCCGUUGAGUUAGCAUGGAUCAAGACUCGGAUUUGUCACUCCGUGUGAUGGAGAGGUAUCUCGGGGCCCACUCGGUAAUACAACAUCACAUACAAUCCUUGCAAGCAAUGUGACUAAAGAACUAUUCAUGGGAUCUUGUAUUACGGAACGAGUAAAUAGACUUGUCGGUAACGAUAUUGAAACAGGUAUGGAGAUACCGGCGAUGGAAUCUCGGGCAAGUAACAUACCGAAGGACAAAGGGAAUGGUAUACGGGAUUAUAUGAAUCCUUGACAUAGAGGUUCAACCGAUAAGAUAUUCGUAGAAUAUGUAGGAUCCAAUAUGGACAUUCAGGUCCCACUGUUGGAUAUUGACCGGAGAGUGUCUCAGGUCAUGUCUGCAUAGUUCUCGAACCCGUAGGGUCUUCACACUUAAGGUUCGGUGACGUUUUAGUAUAGUUGAGUUAUAGGUGUUGGUGAUAUUUUGGAAGUCCCGGAUGAGAUCCCGGACGUCACCAGGAGUUCUGGAGUGGUCCGGAAACGAAGAUUGAUAUAUAGGAAGUUGGUAUUUGGAUUCCGGAAGGAUUUCGGGCAUUGUCGGCAGUGUACCGGGAUAGACGAAUGGGUGCCCGGGGUCCACCAGGUGGGCCCACCACUCCCCAAGAGGGCCAUGUGGACUUGAUGGUGGCGCAACAGCCCUUGAUGGGGUGACUAGUCAACCAAAUAAAGCCCGUGAUGUAAAAAGUGGAAAAACCAAUAGAGGUGGACAACUUGGGGAGGAGUCCUACUCUAAGUAGGAUUGCAGGAGGACUACUCCUCUCCUAGUUCGGCCGAGCCAAGGGAAGGCUCCCUUGGUGGGCAAGCCUAGCCCCUCCUUCCUCCUAUAUAUAUACUAGAGGUUUUUGGAUUUUUUAGAGACAAUUUCAGCCACGUGCUACCCUCUCUACUAGUUUCUAGUUCUUCCUCUAAAUCGGAUUUCUGCGGUGCUUAGGCGAAGCCCUGCAGGAAUAGAUCACCACCAUCACCGGCGCGCCAUCAUGCCACCGAAGAACUUAUCAACUUCCCCAUCUCUCUUGCUGGAUCUAGAAGGCGGAGAUCUUCAUCGAGCUGUAGAUGUGCUGAACGCGGAGGUGUCGUCCGUUCGGUGCUAGAUCGGGAAGGAUCGUGGGACGGCGGCGAUUUGGAUCGCGAAGACGUUCCACUACAUCAACCAUGUUUCUUAAUGCUUCCCGCUUAGCGGUCUACAAGGGUAUGUAGAUCCGAUCUCCCUCUCGUAGAUGAUCAUCACCAUGAUAGGUCUUCGCGUGCGUAGGAAAUUUUUUAUUUCCCAUGCAACGUUCACCAACAAUGGCAUCAUGAGCUAGGUUCAUGCGUAGAUGAAAUAUCGAGUAGAACACAAAAGAGUUUGUGGGCAUUGAUGUUUGAUUUUCUGCCCUCCUUAGUCUUUUAUCGAUUCGGCGGUAUUGUUGGAUUGAAGCGGCCCGGACCAACCUUACUCGUACGCUUACGAGAGACCGGUUUCAUCGAUUAACAUGCAACUUGUUGGAUAAAGAUGACUAGCGGGUGUCUGUUUCUUCAACUUUAGUUGAAUCGGAUUUGACCGAGGCAGACCUUGGAGAAGGUUAAAUAGCAAUUUGCAUAUCACCGUUCUGGCUUUGCAUAAGUAAGAUGUGAUCAUACUAAAUACCCAUAGCAGCCUCCGUCGUAUCUACUUUUCUGAACUCUUUUGCCCUUGUUUUGGACUCUAAUUUGCAUGAUUUGAAUGGAACUAACCCGGACUAACGUUGUUUUCAGAAGAAUUGCCAUGGUGUUGUUUUUGUGUAGAAAUAAAAGUUCUCGGAAUGACCUAAAAAUUUACGAAGAAUGUUUCUCCAAUUAAUGAAAAAUACAUGCACAAAGAUCCACCGGAGGGGGUGAGCCAGUGGGCCACAAGACCAGACGGCGCGGCCACCCGCCUAGGCCGCACCAACCAGGCUUUGGGGCCCACGAGGCUCCACCGCCUCCAUACUCAGCUCUAUUUAUUCCGUUUCGCCCGGAAAAAAAUCAGGGAGAAGGAUCCAUCGCGUUUUACGACACACAGGCGCCGCCACCUCCUGUUCUUCAUCUGGAGGGCAGAUCUGGAAUCCGUUCUGGGCUCCAGAGAGGGGAAAUCAUCGCCAUCGUCAUCAUCAACCUUCCUCCAUUGCCAAUUCCAUGAUGCUCUUCACCGUUCGUGAGUAAUCUCAUCGUAGGCUUGCUAGACGGUGAUGAGUUGGAUGAGAUCUAUCAUGUAAUCGAGUUAGUUUUGACGGGGUUUGAUCCCUAGUAUCCACUAUGUUCUGAGAUUGAUGUUGCUACUACUUUUCCAUGCUUAAUGCUUGUCACUAGGGCCCGAGUGCCAUGAUUUCAUAUCUGAACCUAUUAUGUUGUCGCCAAUAUAUGUGUGUGUUAGAUCCUAUAUUGCAAGUUGUAGUCACCUACUAUGUGUUAUGACCCGGCAACCCCGGAGUGACAAUAGCCGGAACCACUCCCGGAGAUGACCAUAGUAUGAGGAGUUCAUGUAUUCACCAAGUUUUAAUGCGUUGGUCCGAUUCUUCAUUAAAACGAGAAACUUAAUAUCCCGUAGUUUCCAUUAGGACCCCGCUGCCAUGGGAGGGAUGGACAAUAGAUGUCAUGCAAGUUCUUUUCCCUAAGCACGUAUGACUACAUACGAAAUACAUGCCUACAUUAGAUUGGCGAACGGGAGCUAGUCACAUAUCUCUCCGUGUUAUAACUGUUGCAUGAUAAAUCACAUCCGGCAUAAUCAUCCAUCAUCAAUCCACUGCCUACGAGUCUUUUACUACUGGUACUUGCUACGUUACUUUGCUGCUACUGAUGUCACUAGUGUUGUUACUUGCAACUGCUAUCACUACUGUUGUUACUUGCUACUAUUGUCACUACUGUUGUUCCUUGCUACUGCUGUCACAACUGCUGUUACUUGCUACUUUGCUGUUACCUGCUGCAAGACUUUUGUGGCGCCAUUGAUACAACAAGUCAGGAAUAGUCUGCCGUCAACAGACCACUUUCUGGCACCGUUGCUAUCAUACCACUUUGCUACUAAUACUUUGCUUGCAGACACUAAUCUUUCAGGUGUGGUUGAAUUGACAACUCAGCUGCUAAGACUUGAGAAUAUUAUUUUGCUUCCCCUUGAGUCGAAUCAAUAAAUUUGGGUUCAAUACUCUACCCUCGAAAAAUGUUGCGAUCCCCUACACUUGUGGGUUAUCAAGACUAUUUUCUGUCGCUGUUGCCGGGGAGGCACAACUAUAUUAUCUGAGUCACUUGGGAUUGACGUCUGCUGGUCACUAUGAGGAAUCUGAGAGAUCCAAGAACUAAAGUCUUGCCUUCCACUACGAGGACAGGUAAGGAACUGCCAUCUAGCUCUGCACUUGAUUCUCCUUCAGUUAUGAGUAAGUUUGCGACAUCGCCUCCUGCUAGAAAUCUUGAUAUGUUGCCUGUGCUUGAUGAUGCUACUUAUAUUGCCCAUGAUGCUUAUGAUGAUGCUAUGCUUGAUACUACUUUGCCUGAUGAUGCUAUGCGUGAUACUACUUUGCCUGAUGAAGCUAUGCCUGAUAUUGCUUUGCCUUAUGAUGCUACUACUACUUUGCCUGAUGAUGCUAAGACCUGGUUCACUUCUCUUGCUCCUGGUUGUGUGCAUAGCCCCCAGGAUAUGGUCUACUACUUCUCUGAAAAACAUUUCCCUGCCCAUAAGAAGCAAGCUGCCUUGCAGGAAAUAUACAACUUUGCUCAACCUGGAGAAGAGAGUCUCCCACAAGCUUGGGGGAGGCUCAUCCAGCUACUGAAUGCUUUGCCUGAUCACCCUCUUGAGAAUAAUGAAAUACUUGAUAUCUUCUAUAAUGGACUUACCGAUGCUUCCAAAGACCACCUAAAUAGUUGUGUCGGUUGUGUUUUUAGGGAACGCACCAUAGAACAAGCUGAGAUUCUACUGAAUAACAUCUCGUGCAAUGAGAAUGCUUUGACUAUUCCCGAACCACCUCCUAAGCCAACUCCGAAGAAAAGAGGUAUUCUAUUCCUCAGCCCUGAAGAUAUGCAAGAAGCUAAGAAAUCUAUGCGAGAGAAAGGCAUUAAAUAUGAAGAUGUCAAAAAUCUGCCACCUAUCUAAGAGAUCCAUGGUCUCGAUAACCCGAUACAGGUAGUAAAGUAAAUUCUUUGCGUAGGUUUGAUGAGAGUGAUAUUCCUUUUGAUAAACCUGCUAGCUUAUGCCUGGAUGAAUUUGAUAACUUUGUUGCCAAACAACAGAGUUUCAAUGAUUAUGUUAGCAGACAAUUGGAACAGAAUGCUCAUAUGCUUAGUCAUUUAAGUGCUUGUGUGGACAGAAACGUCAAUGAUCUUAAGCUGCUGAGUAAACAUGCCUCUAUGGUUACUACUCAAGUAGAACAAGUACUUAAAGCUCAGAAUGACUUGCUCAAUGAGUUGAAUGAAAAUUAUGUCAAAGUCGUCACUAGAGGCAGUAGAAUGACCCACGAACCUUUGUAUCCUGAGGGUCAUCCAAAGAGAGUUGAACAAGAUUCUCCAGGAGUUAGCACUGAUGCACCUAGUCAUCCUAGAAAAAAGAAGAAAGAUGAUAAGAACCUGCACGCUAGCAACCCUGUUGCUGCUACACCCGAGAGUCCAAACGAUGCCUCUGUCUCUGAUGCUGAGACACAAUCUGGUGAUGAACAUGAGCCUAAUGAUGAUAUCAAUAGUGAUGUUCAUGAAGAUGCUCAACCUAGCAAUGAUAAGGAUGUGGAGAUUGAACCUGUUGAUCUUGAUAACCCACAGCCUAAGGCUAGGAGAUACGAUAAGAAUGACUUCACUGCUAGGAAGCAUGGUAAAGAAAGGGAACCAUGGGUUCAGAAACCCAUGCCCUUUCCUCCCAAAUCAUCCAAGAAAAAGGAUGAUGAGGAUUUCGAGCAACUCGUUGAAAUGAUCAGACCUGUCUUUUUGCAAAUGCGUUUGAUGGAUAUGCUCAAGAUGUCUCUGUAUGCUAAGUACAUGAAGGAUAUUGUGACUAAUAAGUGGAGGAUACCUGAGGUUGAGAUUUCCACCAUACUUGCUAACUAUACCUUCAAGGGUGGAACUCCUAAGAAACUAGGUGAUCCCGGUGUGCCCACUAUACCUUGCUCCAUUAAAGGCAACUACAUUAGAACUGCGUUAUGCGACCUUGGAGCCGGUGUUAGUGUUAUGCCUCUCUCUCUCUAUCGUAGACUUGAACUGGAUAAGUUGACACCCACUAAAAUCUCUCUGCAAAUGGCCGACAAAUCAACUGCUUUCCCUAUCGGCAUUUGCGAGGAUGAGCCUGUUGUGGUUGCCAAUAUCACUAUCUUAACAGACUUUGUUAUCUUGGAUAUUCCUGAGGACGAUGCCAUGGCGGUCAUCCUAGGAAGACCCUUUUUAAACACCGUGGGGGCUGUUAUAGAUUGCAACAAAGGCAAUGUCACUUUCCAUGUCAAUGGUAACGAGCAUACGAUGCACUUUCAAAGAAACAAUAUCGAGUACAUUGCAUCAAUGUUAUCGAAAAAACUUCAUCGAUUCUUAUUGGGAGCUUUGAAUGUCCUAUUCCUCGUGUCAAGAUGAAGUAUGAUUUGCUUGUUGGGGAGAUACACAUCCCCAUUGAGGUAACCUAGUGACUAUUUGAAAAUUCUCCAUUCUGUUUUGCGAUUUAAAAAGGUUUGUCGAGGGGACUUGAUCAACCUCGUUGAUGGAUUUCUUUCGAUGACCAUGAGAUGGACGAAUCAAGGAGUCACAAACCUCUGUUCCAAGCUUUCACCUUCGGUUGCUUAGAAGAAAAAUGAUAGGUUUAGUUUAGUUUUCCCUGUUUUCUGUUUUAGCGUCCGGUUGAAAAGUACCCCGAAAAUAAAAGUUCUCCGAACGUCCUGAAAAUCAAGUAUGAUUUUGUCUGGAAUUUUUGAAAAAUUCUGAGACAAAGAGCUUGUCUGGGGGCUGCACGAGUGGGCCACAAGCCCUGAUGGCGCGGGCACCCCCCUGGCUGCGCCACCCAGGCUUGUGGGGCCCACAUGCACCCCCUCCACUCAUUCUUGCUCUCAUCUGGUUCUUCUACCUCCAGAAAAAAUCGUUUCGCAGCUCAAACCCGUGUUCUUGCUCCUCUUACUGGGAUUUUCGAUCUCUUUGCUCAAAUCACCAUUCUCCGAACUGUUUUGGGGAAAUUACUCCUUGGUAAGUGACUCCUCCAUUGGUCCAAUUAGUUUUUGCUCUAGUGCCUUGUACUCCGCGUACCUUUGCUGCCUUGGUGACCAUGUUCUUGAGCUUUGCAUGCUAAUUUUAGCUGGUCCCAAGUAGUUUUGAUGCGUAAUAUGGCAUCUACGAACUUGUGGGAGUAGUUUCUACGAGUUUCAUCGAGCCUUGUUCACUUUUCCUUAGAGUCACUAAAAAUUUCAGAAAUUUUCAGAGAUAGAAAAGGGAAAAAGAUGAGGAGGUUCUUAAGAGGCUCUUGAAGCCGUGACCCCAAGGAUGAUGGAAGUGAGAAGAAGACCAAGUAUCAGGUCCCUUGAGUCGCAGAAGUUCGAGCGUGCAAGUGGCCAAGCGACGUGUUCUUACGGGCCGCUGGAAUUUAUGAGGACUUUUAUCACUUGGUGGAAAAUGCAGGCCUUACCGCCUUCGUUGAAGAUAAGUGUCCGCAAUACCUCCUCCUCACUAAUAUCUUCGUACAAAUCUUUAACUUUUAUCCGAGGAAGAAUCCUCCUAUGGUUGAGUUUAAACUUUAUGAUAUCCCCCAGCGCAUGUCACUCCAGGAUUUCUGCAAUGUCUGCAAAUUACCUUACGUUGGGGAUAUUCAUGAACCUCGUCCACGGGACUUGGAAGCUUUCAUCGAUACAAUUGAUGUAGGAGAGGAGAGAGGAGUGUCUUGCGCUAGAGCUUCUAGCAUUCAUUUUCCCCUGCUUCCUUACUUCUCAUUAUUUGUGCGAAAAUGUUUGAUUGGUCGUGGGAAAGCUGGGUCACUUAGUUCCCCAGAUCUUGCGGUCUUGCGUGAAGCCCUUUAUAAUGGUAAAACUUAUAGCUCGGGCGCUAUAGUAGCUCAACGGUUGAACCUAAACCGUUCUAAAGGUGUUGUCUAUGGAGGUAUCUAUGUUACCCGUCUUGCCAGACAAUUUGAGAUACCCAUUAGACUGGAGGAGGAAGAAGAGAUUCCUCUUCCCGAGAGAUAUUUAGAUUACGCUAGCAUGGUUCGCCAUGACUUUCUUGAUAGAGAUAUAAAUAGAAGGAUGAUUUUGUUGGGGAACAUCGCAUGGGAAACAAAAAAUUUCCUACGCGCACGAAGACCUAUCAUGGUGAUGUCCAUCUACGAGAGGGGAUGAGUGAUCUACGUACCCUUGUAGAUCGUACAGCAGAAGCGUUAGAGAACGCGGUUGAUGUAGUGGANUAAACUAUCAUCUUGAUACAGGAAUUAUAAUAAUAACUAUACAUUUAUUAUUGCCUCUAGGGCAUAAUUCCAACAGUCUCCCACUUGCACUAGAGUCAAUAAUCUAGCCCUCACAUCACCAUGUGAAUUACAUUGUAAUAAAUCUAACACCCAUACAGUUCUGGUGUCGAUCAUGUUUUGGCCGUGGAAGAGGUUUAGUCAGCGGGUCUGCUACAUUAAGAUCCGUGUGCACUUUGCAUAUAUUUACGUCCUCCUCCUCGACGUAGUCGCGGAUGAGGUUGAAGCGUCGUUUGAUCUGUCUGGUCUUCUUGUGAAACCUUGGUUCCUUUGCUAAGGCAAUGGCACCAGUGUUGUCACAGAACAAGGUUAUUGGAUCCAGUGCACUUGGCACCACUCCAAGAUCCGUCAUGAACUGCUUCAUCCAGACACCCUCCUUAGCCGCCUCCGAGGCAGCCAUGUACUCCGCUUCACAUGUAGAAUCUGCUACGACGCUUUGCUUGGAACUGCACCAGCUUACUGCACCCCCAUUAAGAAUAAAUACGUAUCCGGUUUGCGACUUAGAGUCGUCCGGAUCUGUGUCAAAGCUUGCAUCGACGUAACCUUUUACGGCGAGCUCUUCGUCACCUCCAUACACGAGAAACAUCUCCUUAGUCCUUUUCAGGUACUUCAGGAUAUUCUUGACCGCCGUCCAGUGAUCCACUCCUGGAUUACUCUGGAACCUACCUGCCAUACUUAUGGCCAGGCUAACAUCCGGUCUAGUGCACAGCAUUGCAUACAUGAUAGAGCCUAUAGCUGAAGCAUAGGGGACGGAGCGCAUAUGCUCUCUAUCUUCAUCAGUUGCUGGGCACUGAGUCUUACUCAAUCUCGUACCUUGUAACACUGGCAAGAACCCUUUCUUGGACUGUUCCAUUUUGAACCUCUUCAAAACUUUAUCAAGGUAUGUGCUUUGUGAAAGUCCUAUCAGGCGUUUUGAUCUAUCCCUAUAGAUCUUAAUGCCUAGAAUGUAAGCAGCUUCUCCUAGGUCCUUCAUAGAGAAACUUUUAUUCAAGUAACCUUUUAUGCUCUCCAAAAGCUCUACGUUGUUUCCAAUCAGUAAUAUGUCAUCCACAUAUAAUAUUAGAAACGCCACAGAGCUCCCACUCACUUUCUUGUAAAUACAAGAUUCUCCAACCACUUGUAUAAACCCAAAUGCUUUGAUCACCUCAUCAAAGCGUUUGUUCCAACUCCGAGAUGCUUGCACCAGUCCAUAAAUGGAUCGCUGGAGCUUGCACACUUUGUCAGCAUUUUUAGGAUCGACAAAACCUUCGGGUUGCAUCAUAUACAACUCUUCCUUAAGGAAACCGUUAAGGAACGCCGUUUUGACAUCCAUCUGCCAGAUUUCAUAAUCGAAAAAUGCAGCUAUUGCUAACAUGAUUCUGACGGACUUAAGCAUCGCUACGGGAGAGAAAGUCUCAUCGUAGUCAAUUCCUGGAACUUGUGAAAAACCCUUUGCCACAAGUCGAGCUUUAUAAACGAUCACAUUACCGUCAGCGUCCGUCUUCUUCUUAAAGAUCCAUUUGUUCUGAAUAGCCUUGCGGCCCUCAGGCAGUAUCUCCAAAGUCCACACUUUGUUCUCAUACAUGGAUCCUAUCUCGGAUUUCAUGGCUUCUAGCCAUUUGUUGGAAUCUGGGCCCACCAUUGCUUCUUCAUAAUUUGCAGGUUCAUUGUUGUCUAACAACAUGAUUGUCAAGACGGGAUUACCGUACCACUCUGGAGCAGCGCGUGAUCUCGUCGACCUGCGUGGUUCAACAGAAACUUGAACUGGAGUUUCAUGAUCAUCAUCAUCAACUUCUUCCUCAACCGGCGUCGCAAUCCCAGGGGUUUCCCCCUGCCCUGCGCCACCAUCCAGAGGGAUGAGAGGUUCGACAACCUCGUCAAGUUCUAUCUUCCUCCCACUCAAUUCUCUCGAGAGAAACUCCUUCUCGAGAAAAGUUCCAUUCUUAGCAACAAACACUUUGCCCUCGGAUUUGAGAUAGAAGGUGUACCCAACUGUCUCUUUUGGGUAGCCUAUGAAGACGCACUUUUCUGCUUUGGGUUCCAGCUUUUCAGGCUGAAGCUUUUUGACAUAAGCAUCACAUCCCCAAACUUUAAGAAACGACAACUUUGGUCUUUUGCCAUACCACAGUUCGUAUGGUGUCGUCUCAACGGAUUUCGAUGGUGCCCUAUUUAAAGUGAAUGCAGCUGUUUCUAAUGCAUAACCCCAAAACAAUAACGGCAAAUCAGUAAGAGACAUCAUAGAUCGCACCAUUUCUAAUAAAGUACGAUUACGACGUUCGGACACACCAUUACGCUGUGGUGUUCCAGGCGGUGUUAACUGCGAAACAAUUCCACAUUGUCUUAAGUGAGUACCAAACUCGAAACUCAGAUAUUCACCCCCACGAUCAGACCGUAGGAACUUGAUCUUCUUGUCACGAUGAUUUUCUACUUCACUCUGAAAUUGCUUGAACUUUUCAAAUGUCUCAGACUUGUGUUUCAUUAAGUAGACAUAACCAUAUCUACUCAAAUCGUCAGUGAAGGUGAGAAAAUAACGAUAUCCGCCGCGUGCUUCCACACACAUCGGUAUGUAUGAUUUCCAAUAAGUCACUUGCACGCUCCAUUGUUCUGGAGAACGGAGUUUUAGUCAUCUUGCCCAUGAGUCAUGGUUCGCAAGUGUCAAGUGAAUCGAAGUCAAGUGACUCCAAAAGUCCAUCAGCAUGGAGUUUCUUCAUGCGCUUUACACCAAUAUGACCCAAGCGGCAGUGCCACAAAAAUAUGGCGCUAUCAUUGUUUACUCUAAUUCUUUUGGUCUCAAUGUUAUGUAUAUGCGUAUCGCUAUCGAGAUUCAAUAUGAACAAUCCUCUCACAUUCGGUGCAUGACCAUAAAAGAUGCUACUCAUAGAAAUAGAACAACCAUUAUUCUCAGACUUAAAAGAGUAACCGUCUCGCAAUAAACAAGAUCCAGAUACAAUGUUCAUGCUCAACGCAGGCACUAAAUAACAAUGAUAUAAGUUCAUCACUAAUCCCGAUGGUAGUUGAAGUGACACGGUGCCGACGGCGAUUGCAUCAACCUUUGAACCGUUUCUUACGCGCAUCGUCACUUCGUGUUUCGCCAGCCUCCGUCUAUUCCGCAGUUCCUGCUUCGAGUUGCAAAUGUGAGCAACAGAACCGGUAUCGAAUACCCAGGCACUACUACGAGAGCUGGUUAAGUACACAUCAAUAACAUGUAUAUCAAAUAUACCUGAUUUUUCUUUGCCCGCCUUCUUAUCUGCCAGAUACUUGGGGCAAUUGCGCUUCCAGUGACCCAUACCCUUGCAAUAGAAGCACUCUGUUUCAGGCUUAGGUCCAGCCUUGGGUUUCUUCGGCGGAUUGGCAACAGGCUUGCCGCUCUUCUUCGAAUUGCCCUUCUUGCCUUUGCCGUUUCUCUUGAAACUAGUGGUCUUGCUCACCAUCAACACUUGAUGUUCUUUACGGAGUUCAGACUCUGCGACUUUCAGCAUCGCAAACAACUCGCCGGGAGACUUGUUCAUCCCUUGCAUGUUGUAGUUCAACACGAAGCUUUUAUAGCUUGGCGGCAGUGAUUGGAGGAUUCUGUCAGUGAUAGCUUCUUGCGGGAGUUCAAUCCCCAGUUCAGCUAGACGGUUUGAGNNNNNNNNNNNNNNNNNNNNNNNNNNNNNNNNNNNNNNNNNNNNNNNNNNNNNNNNNNNNNNNNNNNNNNNNNNNNNNNNNNNNNNNNNNNNNNNNNNNNAUAGUUUAUUAUCCAUGCUAUAAUUGUAUUGAAUGAAGACUCAUUUACAUGUGUGGAUACAUAGACAAAACACCGUCCCUAGCAUGCCUCUAGUUGGCUAGCCAGUUGAUCGAUGAUAGUCAGUGUCUUCUGAUUAUGAACAAAGUGUUGUUGCUUGAUAACUGGAUCACGUCAUUAGGAGAAUCACGUGAUGGACUAGACCCAAACUAAUAGACGUAGCAUGUUGAUCGUGUCAUUUUGUUGCUACUGUUUUCUGCGUGUCAAGUAUUUAUUCCUAUGACCAUGAGAUCAUAUGACUCACUGACACCGGAGGAAUGCUUUGUGUGUAUCAAACGUCGCAACGUAACUGGGUGACUAUAAAGAUGCUCUACAGGUAUCUCCGAAGGUGUUAGUUGAGUUAGUAUGGAUCAAGACUGGGAUUUGUCACUCCGUGUGACGGAGAGGUAUCUCGGGGCCCACUCGGUAAUACAACAUCACACACAAGCCUUGCAAGCAAUGUAACUUAGUGUAAGUUGCGGGAUCUUGUAUUACGGAACGAGUAAAGAGACUUGCCGGUAAACGAGAUUGAAAUAGGUAUNNNNNNNNNNNNNNNNNNNNNNNNNNNNNNNNNNNNNNNNNNNNNNNNNNNNNNNNNNNNNNNNNNNNNNNNNNNNNNNNNNNNNNNNNNNNNNNNNNNNNNNNNNNNNNNNNNNNNNNNNNNNNNNNNNNNNNNNNNNNNNNNNNNNNNNNNNNNNNNNNNNNNNNNNNNNNNNNNNNNNNNNNNNNNNNNNNNNNNNNNNNNNNNNNNNNNNNNNNNNNNNNNNNNNNNNNNNNNNNNNNNNNNNNNNNNNNNNNNNNNNNNNNNNNNNNNNNNNNNNNNNNNNNNNNNNNNNNNNNNNNNNNNNNNNNNNNNNNNNNNNNNNNNNNNNNNNNNNNNNNNNNNNNNNNNNNNNNNNNNNNNNNNNNNNNNNNNNNNNNNNNNNNNNNNNNNNNNNNNNNNNNNNNNNNNNNNNNNNNNNNNNNNNNNNNNNNNNNNNNNNNNNNNNNNNNNNNNNNNNNNNNNNNNNNNNNNGAUAUUGACCGAGGAGUCUCUCGGGUCAUGUCUACAUAGUUCUCGAACCCGCAGGGUCUGCACACUUAAGGUUCGACGUUGUUUUAUGCGUAUUUGAGUUAUAUGGUUGGUUACCGAAUGUUGUUCGGUGUCCCGGAUGAGAUCACGGACGUCACGAGGGUUUCCGGAAUAGUCCGGAAAUGAAGAUUGAUAUAUAGGAUGACCUCAUUUGAUUACCGGAAGGUUUUCGGAGUUACCGGGAAUGUACCGGGAAUGACGAAUGGGUUCCGGGGGUUCACCGGAGGGGGGCAACCCACUCNNNNNNNNNNNNNNNNNNNNNNNNNNNNNNNNNNNNNNNNNNNNNNNNNNNNNNNNNNNNNNNNNNNNNNNNNNNNNNNNNNNNNNNNNNNNNNNNNNNNGUGUUUGAUUCCAUAACUGAUCGCUCCUAACACGUUCGGGGUUGUUAUGGGGACCCCCUUGAUAAAUCGCGUAGUGUUAAGACUUGUCCGGAAGGACCCAACAUUGUUGCUAAUUUUCUAAUCACUUAAUAAUAAUUUGCAUAGGGAAUAGCUACCCCAAGGAAUUUAAUCAACAACCAGGGACAGUGCUCCUCAGGAGUGUUGGUUCAAACUAGAGCACCGUGCGGGGCCACCCCGUGGCAACUCGGGAGAUUUCUCUGGCCAUAGUAUGCUUUUCUUAUCCGGUGUGUCGUGAGACUGAGAUACGCGGCUCUUAUCAGGGCCGUAGACACGUCGGGAGGUCCUGCUAGUCUUGUCUUACCUUAGCGAUAUAUCUUGUGUAUAGGAAUCCCGGUGAAUCUUUGGUUCUCCCCAGACUGGGGGUUUUCCUCUAAGGAAUCCGACGAGAUCACGAGUUUCGUGAUAGAGGAUUACUUUGUGGCCCGUAACCAUUUGUGAUGGACUAGUUGGAGCACCCCUGCAAGGUUUAAUCUUUCGGAAAGUCGUGCCCACGGUUAUGUGGCAACUUGGAAUAUUUGUUAACAUCCGGUUAUAGAUAACUUGAACAUAAUCUAAUAAAAUUGCCAACUGUGUGUGUAACUGUGAUUGUCCCCUCGAAGACCUCUCUUUGAUCGGGAACACGGUAGGGUUAUGAUUGACAUAGGUAGGUGUUCAGGAUCACUUAGUGAUCACAAAAUCAUCGAUCGCUAGUAUAGACCACCUUCNNNNNNNNNNNNNNNNNNNNNNNNNNNNNNNNNNNNNNNNNNNNNNNNNNNNNNNNNNNNNNNNNNNNNNNNNNNNNNNNNNNNNNNNNNNNNNNNNNNNGCUUCAAAGUCUUCAGAAUGAUUUUCUUGAGGACACACCGAAUUCCUCAAUUUCAAUAUCUUCAUGAGGAAUAUCAAUUUCAUCGCAGAUUCUUUGCGAGUCAAUUCUUCAGCUUCAGACCAAUUACUUCAACCGAAGAUAUACAUUUUUAGGGGUCGAUAUUCAUCAAAUGUUUCAAACUCCUUAGUGACUUAUAGAUCAUGUGUACACUCAUGAACACAUUAGAUACUUAACCUAUAAGUCUUCAAACCACUAAAAUCACUAAGGGGCACUAGAUGCACUUACAACACUGUUGUCGGGGAAGAAUAGUUACUCGCCUAUGUGCAACCUACUGGCGCCAUUGAUACAACAGUUAGGAAUAGUCUGCCGUCAAUAGAUCGUUUCUGGCACCAUUGCUAUCAUACUACUUUGCUAAUGAUACUUUUCUUGGAGACACUAACCUUUCAGGUGUGGUUGAAUCUGACAAACUCAGCUGCUAAGACUUGAGAACAUUAUUUCGCUUCCCUUUUGGUGAACCAACAAAUUUGGGUUGAAUACUCUACCCUCGAAAACUGUUGCGAUCCCCUAUACUUGUGGGUUAUCAGGUACCGUAAUCCUAGUGUUGGUGUGUGAGCUAAGUAUAAAAGAAUAUGCUUCACAACCUUAUGGUGUGAUUCCUUCGGUUUUGCUUGAAAACGUGCACACAUGCAAACACUAAGCAUUAUGUCUGGCCUAGAUGCACACAAGUACAAUAAAGAGCCAAUCAUGGAGCGAUAUACCUGCUGAUCAAAUUCUUUACCAUUUUCGUCAGUGCAGAGGUGGCCGUUGGUAGGCAUGGGAGUCUUGGCACCUUUACAUUCGGGCAUGUCGAAUUUUCUCAGAACAUCCUUGAGGUGUUUCUCCUGUGAUAUGAAUAUCCCAUUGCGUUGGUGACGAAUUUGAAGACCUAAGAAGAAUUUCAGCUCCCCAAUCAUAGACAUCUGAUAUUCUUCACUCAUCAUGUAAGCAAAUUCAUCACUGUAACGUUUGUCAGUAUAGCCAAAUAUGAUGUCAUCGACAUAUAUCUGGCACACAAAUAGUUCAUUAUCAUAGGAUUUAGUGAAAAUAGUUGAAUCGAGUGAACCAGGUUUGAAGCCUUUCUCCAUGAGGAAUUCNNNNNNNNNNNNNNNNNNNNNNNNNNNNNNNNNNNNNNNNNNNNNNNNNNNNNNNNNNNNNNNNNNNNNNNNNNNNNNNNNNNNNNNNNNNNNNNNNNNNUAAACUAUCAUCUUGAUAGAGGAAUUAUAAUAAUAACUAUACAUUUAUUAUUGCCUCUAGGGCAUAAUUCCAACAAAGAGCUCAAGCUUGGGGAUGCCCAAGGCACCCCAAGACAAAUUCAAGGACACCAAAAAGCCUAAGCUUGGGGAUGCCCCGGGAAGGCAUCCCCUCUUUCUUCUUCAAUCCAUCGGUAACAUUACUUGGAGCUAUAUUUUUAUUCACCACAUGAUAUGUGUUUUUCUUGGAGCGUCUUGUAUCAUAGGAGUCUUUUCUUUUUGUUGUGUCACAAUCAUCCUUGUUGCACACCUUUUUGAGAGAGAGAUACAUGCACUCAUCGUGAUUUUGUUAGAAUGCGCAUAGUGCUUCACUUAUAUCUUUUGAGCUAGAUAAUUUUUCUCUAUGUGCUUCACUUAUAUCUUUUAGAGCACGACGGUGCGUGACUUGGUAGUUGUCUUAUGCUAUGAAAGUAGUUCCAAAGGUGAUAGGUACCCAAAGAGGAUACAAAAAAACCUCCAUCUUCAUGUGCAUUGAGCAGAAAGGGAAGUCUUGAUUCCUCUCAAUUAGUUUUGAGACGUGGAUUUGGUAAUAUUAAGAGCUAUGAUAGUAGGGUGUUGUGAAUCUAGAAAUACUUGUGUUGAAGUUAAUGAUUCCCGUAGCAUGCACGUAUGGUGAACCGCUAUGUUAGGAAGUCGGAGCAUAAUUCAUCCAUUGAUUGUCAUCCUUUGUGUUGAGGUUGGGAUCGCGCGAUGGUUAACACCUACCAACCCUUCCCCUAGGAGUAUGAGUUUAGCACUUUGUUUCGAUUACUAAUAAAAACUUUCGCAACAAGUAUGUGAGUUCUUCAUGACUAAUGUGAGUCCAUGGUAUAGAUGCACUUUCACCUUCCACCUUUGCUAGCCUCUCUAGUGCCGCGCAACUUUCGCCGGUACACAAACCCACCAUAUGCCUUCCUCAAAACAACCACCGUACCUACCUAAUAUGGCAUUUUCAUAGCCAUUCCGAGAUAUAUUGCCAUGCAACUCACACCGUUCCGUCUCAUGACUUGUGUCAUCACUCCCAUAUUGCCAUUGCAUGAUCGUAAGAUAUUUCCUAUAGAGUCAUCAUCGUUCUAAGCUCUAAGCUGUGAGUAAAUAAAAGUGUGAUGAUCAUCAUUAUUAGAGCAUUGUCCCAUGUGAGGAAAUAAAAUAAAAGAGACCAAAGAGGCCAUAAAAAAGAGAGGCCAAGAGCCCAAACAAAAAAAAGAGAGAAAAAGAGAGAAGGGACAAUGCUACUAUCUUUUUCCACACUUGUGCUUCAUAAUAGCACCAUGUUCUUCAUGAUUGAGAGCUUCUUGCUUUGUCACUACCAUAUGCUAGUGGGAAUCUUCAUUAUAUAACUUGGCUUGUAUAUUCCAAUGAUGGGCUUCCUCAAAAUUUCCCUAGGUCUUCGUGAGCAAGCAAGUUGGAUGCACACCCACUAGUUCUCCUUUUGAGCUUUCACAUACUUAUAGCUCUAGUGCAUCCCCUAUAUGGCAAUACCUACUCAUUCACAUUGAUAUCUAUUAAUGGGCAUCUCCAUAGCCCUUUGAUACGCUGAGUCAAUGUGACCAUCUCCUCCUUUUUGUCUCACAACAACCACCACACUCUAUUCCACCUAUAGUGUUAUAUCCAUGGCUCACGCUCAUGUAUUGCGUGAUAGUUAUAAAAAGUUUGAGAAAGUAAGAGUGUGAAAACAAUUACUUGGCCAAUACCGGGGUUGUGCAUGAUUUACAUUAGUUGUGUGAGGAUGAUGGAGCAUAGCCAGACUAUAUGAUUUUGUAGGGAUAACUUUCCUUGGCCUUGUUAUUUUCAAAGUUCAUGAUUACCUUGCUAGUUUGCUUGAAGUAUUAUUGUUUUCAUGUCAAUAGCAAACUAUUGUUUCGAAUCUUACGGAUCUGAACAUUCAUGUCACGUGAAAGAAGUUGCAAAGGACAACUAUGCUAGGUAGCAUACCACAUCAAAAAUUCAGUCUUUAUCACUUCCCUACUCGAGGACGAGCAGGAGUUAAGCUUGGGGAUGCUUGAUACGUCUCCAACAUAUCUAUAAUUUUUGAUGGUUUCAUGCUAUUAUCUUGUCAAACUUUGGAUGCUUUGCAUGACUUUUAUAUAUUUUUUGGGACUAACUUAUUAACUCAGUGCCAAGAGCCAGUUCCUGUUUUUUCCAUGUUUUGACCCCUUUCAGAGGAGGAUUUUGAACGAAGUCCAAACGGAAUGAAACUGCCAAAAAGAUUUUUUCCGGAACAGAAAAAGAUCGGGAAGCGAGAGAAUCAGGGCAGGGGACCACCAGGGACCCCACAAGCCCUCAUGGCGCGGCCAGGGGGGCCGCGUCCCCGUGGCUUGUGGGCUCCCUGAGGCUCCGUUGCCCUAGGUUUUGCGCCUAUGUAUUCCCUAAAAAUCCAUAGAAAAUCAGGAGAUCAUCGAAAGUAUUUUUCCGUCGCCGCAAGCUUCUAUCUCCGUAAGAUCCCAUCUGGGGCACGUUCUGGUGCCCUGCCGGAGGGGGGAUUCGGAUACGGAGGGCUUCUUCAUCAACACCAUGACCUCUCCGAUGAUGCGUGAGUAGUUCACCAUAGACCUACGGGUCCAUAGCUAGUAACUAGAUGGCUUCUUCUCUCUCUAGGAUCUUCAAUACAAAGUUCUCCAUGAUCUUCAUGGAGAUCUAUCCGAUGUAAUCUUCUUUUGCGUUGUGUUUGUUGAGAUCCGAUGAAUUGUGGAUUUAUGAUCAGAUUAUCUAUGAAUCUUAUUUGAGUUUCUUCUGAUCUCUCUUAUGCAUGAUUUCAUAUCCUUGUAAUUCUCUUUGAGUUGUGAGUUUUGUUUGGCCAACUGGAUCUAUGAUUCUUGCAAUGGGAGAAAUGCUUGGUUUUGGGUUCAUACCGUGCGGUGACCUCACUCGGUGACAGAAGGGGUAGCGAGGCACGCAUCAUGUUGUUGCCAUCAAGGGUAAAAAGAUGGGGUUUUCAUCAUUGGUUUGAGAUUAUCCCUCUACAUCAUGUCAUCUUGCUUAAGGCGUUACUCUGUUCAUCAUGAACUCAAUACACUAGAUGCAUGCGGGAUAGCGGUCGAUGUAUGGAGUAAUAGUGGUAGAUGCAGAAAGUAUCAGUCUACUUGUCUCGGACGUGAUGCCUAUAUGUAUGAUCAUUGCCUUAGAUAUCGUCAUGACUUUGCGUGGUUCUAUCAAUUGCUCGACAGUAAUUUGUUCACCCACCGUGAUAUUUUCUAUUUUGAGAGAAGCCUCUAGUGAACACUAUGGCCCCCGGGUCUACUCCACACCAUAUUUUCAGCCUUACACAUUUUACUUCGUUGCACUUUCCACCUUCAUAUCUCACUUUGCAAUCAAUCUUGAAGGGAUUGACAACCCCUUUAUAGCGUUGGGUGCAAGCUCUUUUGUGUUGCGCAGGUACUCUGGACUUGACGAGAUUCUCCUACUGGAUUGAUACCUUGGUUCUCAAACUGAGGGAAAUACUUACUGCUACUGUGCUGCAUCACCCUUUCCUCUUCAAGGGAAAAACCGACGCAAACAAGAGAAGUAGCAAGAAGAAUUCCUGGCGUUGCCGGGGAAGGACUUUUGUUGCCGUAGCAAUGACACACAUAUCCAUAACAUUGAGACCAAAAGAUGUAGAGUUAACAAUGAUUGCGCCACCUUUUUGUGGCAUUGUCGCUUAGGUCAUAUUGGUGUAAAGCGCAUGAAGAAACUCCAUGCUGAUGGGCUUUUGGAGUAACUUGAUUUUGAAUCACUUGACACGUGCGAACCAUGCCUCAUGGGCAAGAUGACUAAGACUCCGUUCUCUAGAACAAUGGAGCGUGCAAGUGACUUGUUGGAAAUCAUACAUACUAAUGUGUGUGGACCAAUGAGUGUGGAGGCGCGCGGCGGAUAUCGUUAUUUUCUCACCUUCACUGAUGAUUUGAGUAGGUAUGGAUAUAUUUACUUGAUAAAGCACAAGUCUGAAACAUUUGAAAAGUUCAAACAAUUUCAGAGUGAAGUUGAAAAUCAUCGUAGCAAGAAGAUUAAGUUCCUACGAUCUGAUCGAGGGGGUGAAUAUCUGACUUACGAGUUUGGUGCUCACUUAAGACAAUGUGGAAUCGUUUCACAGUUGACACCGCCUGGAACACCACAGUGUAAUGGUGUGUCCGAACAUCGUAAUCGUACUUUAUUAGAUAUGGUGCAAUCUAUGAUAUCUCUUACCGAUUUGCCAUUAUAGUUUUGGGGCUAUGCAUUAGAGACAGUUGCAUCCACUUUAAAUAGGGCACCAUCAAAAUCCGUUGAGACGACACCAUAUGAGCUAUGGUAUGGCAAGAAGCUAAAGUUGUCGUUUCUUAAAGUUUGGGGAUGCGAUGCUUAUGUCAAAAAGCUUCUGAAAAGCUGGAACCCAAAGCGGAAAAGUGCAUCUUCAUAGGUUACUCAAAAGAGAUAGUUGGGUACACCUUCUAUCUGAGAACGAGGGCAAAGUGUUUGUUGCUAAGAACAGAGCUUUUCUUGAGAAAGAGUUUCUCUCGAAAGAAUUGAGUGUGAGGAAGAUAGAACUUGAUGAAGUUUUGUAACCUCUGCUCCCACAAGAUGGUGGUGUAGGGCAGAGGGAAAUCUCUCUCGAGGCAACACCAGUUGAGGAGGAAGCUAAUGAGUAUGAUCAUGAAGCUUCAAAUCAAGUUACUAUCGGACCUCGCAGGUCGACAAGAUCACGUACUGCUUCUGAGUGGUACGGGAAUCCUGUCUUAUCUAUCAUGUUGUUAGACAACAAUGAGCCUGUGAAUUAUGAAGAAGCAAUGGUGGGCCCAGAUUUCAACAAAUGGUUAGAGGCCAUGAAAUCCGAGAUAUGAUCUAUGUAUGAAAACAAAGUGUGGACUUUGGAAGUAUUACCUGAAGGUCGCAAGGCUAUUCAGAACAAAUGGAUCUUUAAGAAGAACACGGACUCGGACGGUAAUGUGACCGUUUAGAAAGCUCGACUUGUGGCAAAGGGUUUUUCACAAGUUCAAGGAGUUGACUACGAUGAGACAUUCUCACCGGUAGCGAUGCUUAAAUCCGUCCGAAUCAUGUUAGCAAUAGGUGCAUUUUUCGAUUAUGAAAUAUGGCAGAUGGAUGUCAAAACGGCAUUCUUUAAUGGGUUUCUUAAGGAAGAGUUGUAUAUGAUGCAACCCGAAGGUUUUGUCGAUCCAAAGAAUGUUGAGAAAGUAUGCGAGCUCCAGCGAUCCAUUUAUGGAAUAGUGCAAGCAUCUCAGAGUUGGAGCAAGCACUUUGAUGAGGUGAUCAAGGCGUUUGGAUUUAUACAAGUUGUAGGAGAAUCUUGUAUAUACAAGAAAGUGAGUGGGAGCUCUGUAGCAUUUCUAAUAUUAUAUGUGGAUGACAUAUUGCUGAUUGGAAACAAUGUGGAGUUUCUGGAGAGCGUAAAGGAUUACUUGAACAAAAAAAAUUCAAUGAAAGACCUAGGAGAAGCUGCUUACAUAUUAGGUAUUAAGAUCUAUAGAGAUAGAUCGAGACGCCUGAUAGAACUUUCACAAUGCACAUACCUUGAGAAAGUUUUGAAGAAGUUCAAAAUGAAACAAUCCAAGAAAGGGUUCUUGCCUGUGUUACAAGGUAUAAAGUUGAGUAAGACUCAAUGCCCAGUAACUGCAGAAGAUAGACAAAAGAUGAGUACCGUCCCCUAUGCUUCAGCCGUAGGGUCUAUCAUGUAGCAAUGAUGUUUACAAGACCAGACGUCAGCCUGGCCAUAAGUAUGGAAGGCACGUUUCAAUGUGAUCCAGGAGCGGAACACUGGGCGGCGGUCAAGAAUAUUCUAAAGUACCUAAAAAGGACUAAGGAAAUGUUUCUCGUUUAUGGAGGUGACGAAGAGCUCGUCAUAAAGGGUUACGCCGAUGCAAGCUUUGACACUGAUCCAGAUGACUCUAAAGUCUCAAACCGGAUACGUAUUUAUUCUCAAUGGGGGUGCGGUAAGCUGGUGCAGUUCCAAGCAAAGCUUCGUAGCGGAUUCUACAUGUGAAGCGGAGUACAUGCCUGCCUCGGAGGUGGCUAAGGAGGGUGUCUGGAUGAAGCAGUUCAUGACAGAUCUUGGAGUUGUGCCGAGCGCACUAAAUCCAAUACCUCUGUUCUGUGACAACACUGGUGACAUUGCUCUAGCCAAGGAACCAAGGUUUCACAAGAAGACCAGACACAUCAAACGACGCUUCAACCUCAUCCGCGACUAUGUCGAAGGAGAGGACGUAAAAAUUUGCAAAGUGCACACGGAUGUGAAUGUUGCAGAUCCGCUGACUAAACCUCUUCCACGAGGGAAGCAUGAUCAACACCAGAACUGUAUGGGUGUUAGAUUUGUUACAAUGUAAAUCGCAUAAAGAUGUGAGACUAGAUUAUUGACUCUAGUACAAGUGGGAGACUGUUGGAAAUAUGCCCUAAAGGCAAUAAUAAAAUAGUUAUUAUUAUAUUUCUUAUUUCAAGAUAAUCGUUUAUUAUCCAUGCUAUAAUUGUAUUGAAUGAAAACAUAAAUGCAUGUGUGGGUAUAUAGACAAAACUAUGUCCCUAGUAAGCAUCUUGUUGACUAGCCAGUUGAUCAAGGAUGGUUAAGGUUUUCUGACCAUAUACAAGUGUUGUCAAGUAUAAACGUAGAUGUCACAUAGACCCAAACUAUAAACGUAGCAUGUGAUCAUGUCAUUUUGUUGCUAUUGUUUUCUGCGUGUCAAGUAUUCAUUCCUAUGACCAUGAGAUCAUGUAACUCACUAACACCGGAGGAAUACCUUGUGUGUAUCAAACGUCGCAAUGUUACUCGGUGACUAUAAAGGUGCUCUACAGGUAUCUCCGAAAGUGUCCGUUGAGUUAGCAUGGAUCAAGACUGGGAUUUGUAACUCCGUGUGACGGCGAGGUAUCUCGGGGCCCACUCGGUAAUACAACAUCACAUAUAAGCCUUGCAAGCAAUGUGACUAAAGUCUUAGUCACGGGAUCUUGUAUUACGGAACGAGUAAAGAGACGUGCCUGUAACGAGAUUGAAAUAGGUAUAGGGAUACCGACGAUCAAAUCUCGGGCAAGUAACAUACUGAAGGACAAAGGGAAUGGUAUACAGGGUUAUAUGAAUCGUUGGCACGGAGGUUCAACCGAUAAGAUCUUCAUAGAAUAUGUAGGAUCCAAUAUGGACAUCCAGGUCCCGCUAUUGUAUAUUGACUGGGGAGUGUCACAGGUCAUGUCUGCAUAGUUCUCGAACCCACAAGGUCUGCACACUUAAGGUUCGGUGACGUUUCGGUAUAGUUGAGUUAUAGGUGUUGGUGACUGAAGUUUUGUUCGGAGUCCCGGAUGAGAUCACCGACGUCGCGAGGGUUUUCGGAAUGGUCUGGAAACGAAGAUUGAGAUAUAGGAUUGUUGCAUUUGGCUUCCGGAAAGAUUUUGGGCAUUGUCGGCAGUGUACCGGGAGUGACGAAUGGGUUUUGGGGUUUUAUCGGGAGGGGCCACCCACCCGGAAGAGAACCUAAUAGUCCCGUGGGUGGUAUACCAUCCCUUAGUGGGCUGGUGUAGCCAACCCAGGGCUAUUUCGGCCAAGGAGAAAAAACAAUGCAAAAGGAAAAAAAGGAGGUGGAAAGGAAGGAAGGGACUCCUCCCUCCAAACCGAAUUGGAGGAGGAUCCCUCCUCCUCCCACUUCGGCCGACGCCCUAGAGGAUCCCUUGAGCCUCAAGGCUAGCCCCUCCCCUCCUCCUCUAUAUACUAGAGGUUUUAGGGUUUUUGAGAAACAACUUUGCCACGUGCAACCCUAAACCUCUACUUCGUAGUUCUUCCUCUAGAUCGGAUUUCUGCGAAGCUCGGGCGGAGCCCUGCAGGAAUAGAUCAUCACCAUCACCGGCGCGCCGUCACGCUGUCGGAGAACUCAUCUACUUCCCCAUCUCUCUUGUUGGAUCAAGCUGGCAGAGAUCGUCAUCGAGCUGUACGUGUGCUAAAUGCGGAGCUGCCGUCCGUUCGGUGCUAGAUCGGGACGGAUCGUGGGACGACGGUGAUUUGAAUCACGAAGUUGUUCCACUACAUCAACCGCGUUUCUUAAUGCUUCCCGCUUAGCGAUCUACAAGGGUAUGUGGAUCCGAUCUCCCUCUCGUAGAUGAACAUCACCAUGAUAGGUCUUCGUGUGCGUAGGAUUUUUUUUGUUUCCCAUGCAACGUUCCCCAACAAUAUGAUCGUGUCAUUUUGUUGGUAUUGUUUUCUGCAUGUCAAGUAUUCAUUCCUAUGACCAUGAGAUCAUGUAACUCAUUGACACCGGAGGAAUGCCUUGUGUGCAUCAAACGUCGCAACAUUACUGGGUGACUAUAAAGGUACUCUACAGGCAUCUCCAAAGGUGUCUGUUGAGUUAGCAUGCAUCAAGACUGGGAUUUGUCACUCCAUGUGACAUAGAGGUAUCUCGGGGCCCACUCGGUAAUACAACAUCACAUACAAGCCUUGCAAGCAAUGUGACUAAAGAGUUAGUCACUGGAUCUUGUAUUACGGAACGAGUAAAGAGACUUGCCGGUAACGAUAUUGAAAUAGGUAUGGAGAUACCGACGAUCGAAUCUCUGGCAAGUAACAUACCGAAGGACAAAGGGAAUGGUAUACGGGAUUAUAUGAAUCCUUGACAUAGAGUUUCAACUGAUACGAUCUUCGUAGAAUAUGUAGGAUCCAAUAUGGACAUCCAGGUCCCGCUAUUGGAUAUUGACCGGAGAGUGUCUCGGGUCAUGUCUGCAUAGUUCUCGAACCCGUAGGGUUUGCACACUUAAGGUUCGAUGAUGUUUUGGUAUAGUUGAGUUAUAGGUGUUGGUGACCGAAGUUUUGUUCGGAGUCCUGGAUGAGAUCCCGGAUGUCACGAGGAGUGCCGGAAUGGUCCGGAAACGAAGAUUGAUAUAUAGGAAGUUGGUAUUUGGAUUCCGAAAGGAUUUCGGGCAUUGCCGGCAGUGUAUCGGAAGUGACGAAUGGGUACGGGGGGUCCACCAGGUGGGCCCACCACUCCCCAAGAGGACCAUCUGGACUUGAUGGUGGCGCAACAGCCCUUGAUGGGCGGACUAGUCAACCAAAGAAAGCCCAUGAGGUAAAAAGUGGAAAAACCAAAAGAGGUGGACAACUUGGGGAGGAGUCCUACUUCAAGUAGGAUUGGAGGAGGACUCCUCCUCUCCUAGUUCGGCCGAGCCAAGGAAAGGCUCCCUUGUUGGGCAAGCCUAGCCACUCCUUCCUCCUACAUAUACUAGAGGUUUGAGGGUUUUUGAGACACAAUUUCAGCCACGUGCUACCCUCUCCUCUAGUUUGUAGUUCUUCCUCUAGAUCGGAUUUUUGCGGUGCUUAGGCGAAGCCCUGCAGGAAUAGAUCACCACCAUCACCGGUGCGUCGUCACGCUGCCGGAGAACUCAUCUACUUCUUCGUCUCUCUUGCUGGAUCAAGAAUGCGGAGAUCAUCAUCGAGUUGUACGUGUGCUGAACGCGGAGGUGUUGUCCGUUCGGUGCUAGAUCGGGACGGAUCGUGGGACGACAACGAUUUGGAUCGUGAAGAUGUUCCACUACAUUAACCGCAUUUUUUAACGCUUCCCGCUUAGCGAUCUACAAGGGUAUGUAUAUUCGGUCUCCCUCUUGUAGAUGGUCAUCACCAUGAUAGGUUUUCGUGUGUGUAGAAUUUUUUUUGUUUCCCAUGCAAAGUUCCCCAACAUGCACCACCUCGGAAGUAGUCGGGCAUAUUGUUCAGAUGCGAAUGACUGGCUCCAUAAAAGACUAUUCCUACAUUUAAGCUCGGAUGAAUUCCUUCGAAUUUUCAAAGGUCGAGGUAAUUUAUGACGCCUCGGAUGCCUCAGAUACGGUUCGGGUUGGAGCUCAGACGCAACAGGAUACCUCGAUACUGACUAGCGUUGGAGCUUGGCUACAAAAUGACACCUCGGAUACGGUUCGGGUUGGAGCUCAUAUGCAAGAGGAUACCUCGAAUGCUGACUAGUGUUGGAGCUUGGCUACAAAAUGACACCUUGGAUGCAAUUCGACGGUGGAGCUUGGACGCAAGAGGACACCACCGCUUGGGAAACACUCCAAACUCGAGGUGUAGCGUAAAAAUUACAAGGCAUUGAUAAAGGACAAAAACUUAAUGGGGCUCCUCGGAUGCCCGACGUGUGGACUCUUCGGAUACACUUCGGCGACCCUCAAGAUCGAAGAUGGAAAGAUUUGUUGAACCGGUUUUCAAGCCCAACGACACAAGAUGAAGAACAGUUCGGAAGAACCGAGGAGCAUCCCCAACUUGAAGAUCGGUUUAGGGGGGCUACUGAUGGUGUCCUGGACUAGGAGGUAUUCACCACGUUGUCUCCCGACCAUUGGGCCAACCGAGGACCCCAUGACGGUUCACUCAUGGGCUAGUUCGGACAGCCCAUGAUGCAUACAAGGGAGAUUCCACAAGACUUGACACACAAGACAAGGACUCCACUAAAGCAUAUGCCUACGAUACAUUAUAUAAACCAAGGCCAGGCUAAUCAGUAGACAAUCUCAUAUUCAUAUGAUCUUUACUCUUAGGGUUUAGACCACGACAUACGAUCUCGAGGUAGAUCAACUCUGUACUCGAUACUCCAUCAUCAAUAUAAACAAGAGCAGUACGUAGGGUUUUACCUCCAUCAAAAGGGUCCGAACCUGCGUAAAACAUCGUCUCCUUCGUCCCCUGUAAUUCAUCGAUCUAAGGUCCACAGCUCGGGACCCCCUACCCGAGAUCCAAGGUCCACUAACGACAGCGGCGGGUGAGAGAAGAGGACGUAGAGGCCCGACGGAUCGAGCAGAUGGAGUGCGAGGCCGAAGCUGAGGAGAAGGAGCGACGUGCUGCCCACCGAGCGUCGGUGCAACCACCAGCGAACGACGUCGUUGUCGCUUAGGAGACGGCCUUUCCCUGGGCUGGCCCGACGCUGACCCUCGUCGACCUCACCGGUCCAAACGACGACGACGAGAAGAAUGUCUAGGGCAACGCGUCUCCUCAUUUUAGUUUACUUAAUUUUACAUUUAAUGUAAUGUGGACUAUCGCCGGCCUUCGAGGCCGGCAUUAAAUUUUUAACAAUGGUUUCUCUAUUUUAAAAUUGUCUAUUUUUUUUUUGCUACACCUAAAAAUGGAUCAUUGUCCGCGUUGGAAGCAAGCGGCGAUUCAAUUACAAAAGCAAACACAAUCCAAUUAAAUAAAAUAUGCACGUCCGUUUGGGUCGAGAGGUUGCAGGUGCUUUGAAAAGUUUUACCUUUCCAUUUAUGGUCGGUUAGCAGGAUCUCUGCACACGUUUGUGGCACCAUGUUGUUUGCAGUAAAAUUGAGUGACGUCAUUGGAGACGCCCAAGAGAGAACCGGAACGCUUGAACCGAUGAACAAUCCAGAUAGAUGACUGUGGGUCCUUGAGCCUUGCCAAAAACGUCAGCGACACGACGAAAGGACGCCAUGCCGCCGCGGUUUCUCGAUCACCGUGGCCGGCCCAGCUCUCGAUCUCACCGCUGUAUGGCUCGUUUUUUUUUUUUUGCGGGGACUGUAUGGCUCGUUUUUUUUAAUUGCGGGGACUGUAUGGCUCGUAUUCAUUAGCAGCACUGCACCAGCAAAUUUUGACAGUUUGUACGUACAGUACUCCUCCAGUUUACCAGCUCGCACGUGAGGAUGAUGGUGCCACGCCGGCAUGUCAUCCCAUUGACCACGUUCGUCCGCUAGUCUCCAUUCCCCACCGCGCCGCGCCGUGUCGAGGAGAGGAGGAGUCCAGUCCACGCGGUGUCGUGCGGAUCUGCGAAACCGCGUGAACCGCGGCACGCACCCGCACCCGCUCGCUGUCAGCCGGUGGGUGCCCACCCGCCACACCGCGUCCUCGGGGCGCGGCCACCUUCCUGGUUGCUCCUGCUCCACACCAGCGCGGCGCAGGCGCGGGCCGGUCUCGCUUUCCUGCCUCCCCUUCCUUGUCCAAAAAGCAACCCCCGCGUUCACACAUCGCCAUCGAUCGGCCUCGUCGCAUCACGGCGUAUUUAUAUCGUUCCCCAUUUCACACCAGUCUCCUCGCCUCUCCACCUACCAAUCACAGGACGAUCGUUUCUCUCGUUUCGUUUCGUUUCCUCUUCAAUCGCUGACCCGCACCCACCACCGCACCAAUCGCGACUCCCGCGCUCCCGGCCAGCGUUACUAGCUACCGUGACGUAUAUGAGAUCCCCAUCCGGCGCCCGCCCCAGCAGCGGAGGAGGUGCUGCGGCAGAAGACGAUUUCGCCUUCUACUACUCUUUCUUGCAGGACGCUGCCGCCGCGUCGCCGCUCGCGCUCGACGAAACCGUCGCCGCCGCCGCGAUGCCAAACAACCGCCGGAGGAAGCGCGGAGGGGACGACUCCAUCAAGGACGGACCGCCCGCCGGUAACAACGGAAGGAAGCGCUCCAUCGCCACCAUAAUAACUUCGCUCGCCGCGCUCGAGGCCGAGGGCCACGCCGACAGCGCGGGGGCCGCCGAUGCCUCCCGCCGCGAGCUCGCGCUUCUCGAGUCCAACGCCGACAACAAGUCGCAGGCCAUGAUGGACUACUUCGCCAAGAUGGAGGGCAGCUUUGAUGCCGACGCCGAGUCUGAGGCCGCUGCGCGCUCCAGGCGCUCGCAGCUCUCGGCGUCGGCAGCGGCAGCGGCCGUCGUGGCUGCCGAGGAGGCCGCCACCAACACUGCAGCGUCGGCCUCGCCGCCGCGUGCAGGCCACCACCAACGCCGUCUGUGGGUCAAGGACCGGUCGCAGGCGUGGUGGGACCAGUGCAACAGCCCCGAUUUCCCAGAGGCAGAGUUUCGGCGCGCCUUCAGGAUGGGCCGGGAGACGUUCGACAUGAUCUGCGAUGCGCUCGGCUCCGCGGUGGCUAAGGAAGACACCAUGCUUCGCGCGGCCAUCCCCGUGCGUCAGCGCGUCGCCGUCUGCAUCUGGCGCCUCGCCACCGGUGAGCCGCUCCGCCUCGUCUCCAAGCGCUUCGGCCUCGGCAUCUCCACAUGCCACAAGCUCGUCCUCGAGGUCUGCGGGGCCAUCAAGUCUGUCCUCAUGCCGCGCUUCCUCCAAUGGCCCGAUGAGGCCGCCGCCGGCAGAUUCAAGGAGGGCUUCGAAAGAUCCUUUGGCGUUCCGGGCGUCAUCGGAGCCAUGUACACCACGCACAUCCCUAUCAUCGCGCCCAAGAUCUCCGUCGCCGCCUACUUCAACCGUCGGCACACGGAGCGCAAUCAGAAGACAUCCUACUCCAUCACGCUCCAGGGGGUGGUCGGUCCUGACCGCGCCUUCACCGACGUCUGCAUCGGCUGGCCGGGCUCCAUGCCAGACGAUCAGGUGCUCGAGAAAUCCAUGCUGCACCAGCGCGCCGCGGCGGGUAUGAUGCACGACGCUUGCCUCGUCGGUGGCGCAAGCUACCCGCUCAUGGAUUGGGUGCUCGUGCCCUACACACACCAGAACCUGACAUGGACGCAGCACGCCUUCAACGAGAAGGUCGGCGACAUCCGCAACGUGGCCGUGGAGGCGUUCGCGCGGCUCAAGACACGGUGGGCGUGCCUCCAGAAGCGCACGGAGGUGAAGCUCCAGGACCUCCCCGUGGUGCUCGGCGCCUGCUGCGUCCUGCACAAUAUCUGCGAGAUGCGCCGCGAGGAGCUCGAGCCGGAGGUCCAGUUUGCUCUUUUCGACGACGAUACCAUGCCGGAGACCCCUGUUCGCUCUGAGACCGCCAAGCAGGAAAGGGACAGCAUCGCCCACAACCUCCUCCACCGCGGCUUUGCCGGCACCACAUUUUUCUGAUCAAAUCACCUCCUGCCCUCUCCUUGGCUUGGGUACAGAUAAAAUUAAACAUGUAGCGAAUUCUUUUAGCCGCUAGUAUAGAACAUUUUGUUACGAUUUAUUUGUACACGACGUUCAGACAAAGUGGAAAUUCAUGUAAACAUUCUGUGGAAAAAAAUCGGCAGUAGCUGCUGUCGGUUCCUCGGUUUAACAUUUAAAGAUUUAUAUACAAUUUAAUUUACAAAUGAAAACCAGAGCUGGUUUAAAUGAAAAGCAUUUUCCAGUCUGCUGCACUAGAGACCUCCACGUGCGUGGACCGCAGCUUCAGUUUGAUCGCCGAGGCCUCCUUUGCUGACUGGACCCCCACCCUCUCUAUCCCGCCUCGUGCCGCCUCCCCCGCUUCCCUUCCUCGCGCCCCCUCCUCUCUCUCAUGUUGCUGUCGGAGGGUGCCCCUGGAUCUGGCCGGGUGGUUUUGGCGUUCCUUGUUGCCGUCGGAGGGUGCUCCCGGAUCUGGUCGGAUGGUUUCGGCGACGACGGGUCUUCCAUUCUCCCACGCGCAACGCCCUUCCUCGAGCAAGGUUCGGCGGCAGGUGCUGCUCGACGCACGACGGUCCGCCUCCCUGGCAGCACGGGCCGGCGUUAGGCGCGGUAACGUUGAUGCUCUUGGUGGCGAGGUGGCCUGGUGACGCUGGGUGGCUGGCGGCGCAACCCUUGCCCUGAGGAGCCCAUUUCAGUUCUAGCGGGCCGGCGUCGACGUGGCUUAGUUGCCUCUGGCAUGGCGAACUGGUGGAGCAGGUCGGACAGGGAGCAGCGACAUCGACGACAUGCCCUCUCCAGCGCAACGGCGGAAGCUUCACGGGCGUUUAGGGCCUCGCCGUGCUGUCGCGUUCGGUCAGAUACCGCGCGUGUGUGUUGACGGGGGCUUCCAGAGAGAGUUUUGCCUUUUAUUUGCUCUUAUUUGGUUUCAUAAAACAUUUUGUCUUUUGGAUGACUUAAUCUUUCGUGUUUGAUCAUACUUUGAUUGUUGAUGCUACUAUGUUAUUCCUUUUUAUCUAUCUACAUGAUGAUCAUUUACCUAUUUGUGUGGUGUUAUGUGCAUUGCUAUUCAUUUAUAUCAUUUAUGUGCACCAAUAAAAUGUAUGUGACAUGGAAGAGUGACCCAAGAUCCUAAUCGAUUAUGCAUUUGCAUUCAAACGCAAAUUUAAAAUAAUUCAUAAAUUUAG
rnacentral:lncRNA from 1 species